rnacentral:lncRNA from 1 species
GACGGCCCUGGUCGUCACCGGCGGCCUCGUCCUCGCCUGGCUCACCGUCGAGUCCGCCUUGAAGCCCUUCCUCGACCGCCUCCGCGGCGCCGUCUCCCGCUCCACCGACCCCGCCCGCGACCCCGACGAGGACACCACCGCCCCCGAGGAGGACAAGUCGCCCGCCACCGCUGCCGCCACCGCCGCCGUCGCCGCCGCUGUCGCCUCCUCCGUCGCCGAGGAGAAGGACCCCUCUGUCGCCGUCGCCGCGCCCGAGCCGUCCGCGCCCCCGCUCCCUGCCGAGGCGGUGGAGAGCGAGGAGAAGGGAGCGGACGGGGAGGUCGAACUGGGCGAGAAGGGGGAGGCGGCCGUGGCCGCCAAGGCCGAGUGAAGACGACGGUGCUCGCCUCGCCUGGCUCCACUUCUGAAUCGUACGCUGUGAAUCUAAUCUACGCGUCUGGAGGUUGUGAUGGAUGAUGCAAUGUUUUGAACUCUGUUAUCGGUAUCUGCAUCUUUAGGGCCCGUCUUAAGAUUGAGGCUUACCCUGGGUCAAUUUCCGACAUUUUGCAUUCAGUACUUGAUGUCAUGAUAUAUACAUCUGUAUGGAUGGUUUCAUUUCCCAUGGAAACCGCUUGCUAUUCCUGUGGACAGGAAACUUAUUGUCACAUAGUUUGUUCUAGCUCUUGAAGCUGCAUGUGGUUCAGUCAUUUUAAUCAGUCGCCAGGGUAAUGGUGAUGUGGUGCAUCAUUCAAUUAUUUAGGGCUGUCUUUCCUGCUUGGUUUAUGCAUCUCCUCUGAGGGAGAAGUUAUCUCGUCCAACAUUACAUAAAAACUGCUUUGCUUAUGCUGUUGAUAGGAAAAUUAUAGUGACAUAUGUUGUUCUACUUCUUCAAACUGCAAGUCUGCAAGGUUGUUCAGUUGUUUAAGUAUUUCUUGGGCUAGUGAAAUGAUAUGGUGCAUCAUUCAAUUAUUUUGUGCUACUUUUCUUGCUUUCAGAUUUUUCUCUGUGAAUAAGUUAUUCCUAUUAUGCUUCUAAAUAGUGUUAUGUUACCUGUUAAUCCUAUUUUGAUGCUGCUAGUUAGAAUUCUUAUUAUUUGAUAUCUGUAUAUUUUACUACUCAGCUCAACUUAGCAGCGUGGUUACUUACUAGUUACAUCAGUAUUUACUAUAUAUUAUUGAUGUUCCUAUAUGUUAGUGCCCGUGCAUGUUUUUUUAUUUUCUCGUUUAGAAGUAGUUUGCUUAUAUUACCAUCUUGCUAGAAAUAUUCAGGUUUUCAUAGGGAUUCUCCAGGUCUUUUGUGGCAACAAAUGGUUUGGUAAUUUCCAUUUCUAGAUCACUUCUUGAACCUUUCGGUAUUUCCAUGUAACAUGUUUGCCCAGUGCCCGGUACUACUUUUUUCUGUAUUUAACGCUGAGCUGUUGUAUCUAUUUGCUGAGUAAGACGGUAGACCCUGCGAGGAAGUCCAGCCAAUUAUAUGUCUUGAAAGGAUGCAGCAUUUUUCUGUCAUUCUGUUUUAAGUUGUAGCUACAAGAGGUUUCUGAACUCAGUACUACUCCCUCUGUUCCAAAUUAGUUGACUUGAAUUUGUCUAAAUACUAAUGUAUCUAUACUUAUUUAGUGUCUAGAUACAUCCGUGUCUAGAUAAAUAUGGGUCAAGUAAUUUGGAACGGAGGGAGUAUUUAAGAAGAAAGUUUUCACAUUACCUGCUACAGGAUAACGGUAUACAUUUGGAAUCAAAGUCAUGCUAAGUCAGUCACAUUAUUGCGUCAUGCAUGAAACAUAGUUUGUUAGUACGUAUCUGUAAUGAUAGUACUUAACUAUUAUGCUUGGAUAUAUUAGUGUUGUUUUCUGCAUUUAGUCAUCAUUUGUAUAUGUGUCGACAAAGCUGUUAAUGUUUAACAUUAUUCUGCAGAAGUUAUUAAGCACAACCGUUUGAUGUAGAAAUACCAUUACUGUACUAAGUUGAGAUGACAUGAAUGCUUCAUGCACUACAUGUAGUCUGUUAGAAGUGUAUCUGGUGUUGAAAUGUCUUAAGUAUUAUUCUUGGCUAAACAAUUGACGGUUUCCGCCUUUAAUAUAAUUUGUAUAUGUGGCAACAAAGCCGUCGAUUUUAGACAUUAUUAUGUGGAAGAUGCUCUUAAAUAUCUAGAGUAUUAUGCUUGUCUGGUGUUACAUUGAUAUGGAGGCGGCAAAGCUUAUCUGGUGUUAAAAUAUCUAGAGUAUUAUGCUUAGAUAGACUAGUGAGUUUCUGCAUUUAGUAUCAUUUGUAGAUGUGGCGACAAAGCUGUCGAUGUUAGACGUUAUCACGCAUUACAGUUCGAUAGGGAGGGCAGCAAUUAUUGUACUAAGCUAAUACUACAUUAUUACUUCAUGCACAACUUUGUGGUCCGUUAGUAGCUUAUCUGGAAUUAAAAUACGUGGAAUAUUAUGCUUGGAUAAACUAGUGAGGAUCUAUGCAUUUAGUCAUCAUUUAUAGAGGUGACUGCAAAUCUGUUGAUUGGUAGACAUUAUGAUGCAGAUGCUAUGAUUGAUUACUGACGUUAUGCUGUGUUAGCAUGAUAGUUCGCUGAUUAACAAUAUUCUGUUACUAAAAUGUCUCAUAUUAAAUUCUGCAAUACUAUGUUUUGGUGAAGUACUGAUGCUUCUGCAUUUAUGCUGCAGUUAUACAUCCGACAACAAAGUUGUUAAUUAUAAUUGCUACUUUAGGUUCCAAACUGAAGUAACGCUAUUUUAGUAAACUAAGAAUUAGUCUCCUGAUUUUCAGGUGAUGCAUUUUAGUUUUUCAAAUGCGGCAUCAGAACACAGGGGUAACAUUGUUUUAUUUUCAUGACUAUCCUUAGGCUCAAGGCUCAACGCAUAGUCCGUUAGUAACUUAUCUGGAACUAAAACAUGUGAAAAGUUACGUGUGGAUAAACUAGUGAGGAUUUAGGCAUGUAGUCAUCAUUUGUAGAGAUGACCGCAAAACUGUUCAUUGGUAGGCAUUGUGAUGCAGAUGCUAUGAGUGGUUACAACUUUAUGCCGUGUCAAAGCAUGAUCACAUCAUAGCUCGAUGAUUAACAAUUUUUUUUUUGCUGAAUUGUCUGGUCUUCAAUCCUUUAGUACUAUUUUUUGGUAAAGUACUGAUGGCUUCCGCAUUUGUGCAGCAGUCAUACAUGCGAUAGCAAAGUUAUUGAUUAUAGCUGCUAUUCCCUCCGUUCCUAAAUAUAUGACGUUUUGGUAGUUCAAAUUGAACUACCAAAACAUCAUACAUUUAGGAAUGGAGGGAGUAGAUGUUAAGGUUCCAAACUGAAGUAGCACUAUUUUAGUAAACUACUCCCUACGUAAAGAAAUAUAAGAGCGUUUAGAUGACUAGCUCUUCUAUUUCUUUACAGAGGGAGUAAUAAUUAGUCUCCUGAUCUUCUGGUGAUGCAUUUUAAUUUUACGAAUGCGGCAUCAAAACAUAGGUUACUUAUUUUGUUCUCAUUACUAUCUGUAGGCUCAUGCACGUGCUCACCUAGAACUGAAUCAAGUUUCCUGUUCAGUUUUGAUAACUCAGUAAUGAUUUAGUAUUUACUCUACUAUACUGCGAUGGCAUGGUAAUUGACGCUAAAUGUUUAACUUUAAACUACAUCUUAUGUUAUUGGGAUAAACAAAUAACAAAUCUCAAUCCUGUUACUCGCUUAAUCAGAAAGCUUAAGUGAUAAGUUGGUAUGGAGGUUUGGUUCAGAACAGCACCCGCAAUUUGGUUUUAGACAUAUUUGUUAGUUAUUGUUUGUGGUGUUGUCAUUUUCUGUAUCAUUUAUGAUUACCCCUACUUCCUGGUCUUAGUGUUGGUUAACUAAUACUCCCUCCGUUCCUAAAUAGAGUAUACGUCAUUCUAUAGAGAUUUCAAUAUGGACUACAUACAGAUGUAUAUGGACACAUAGUUUAGAGUGCAAAUACACUCAUUUUGCUCCGUAUGUAGUCCAUUUUGGAAUCUUUAGAAAGACUUAUAUUUAGGAACGGAGGGAGUAUAACUUAAUUGUCUCAACUGGUCUUCGCUCGACAGUGAACAUCAUUCCGUCCAAAUUGCGACUAUAAUACUUGCUUGAAUAUGUAAGGUAUAGAUGAGGGAAUUCGCCGCAUUGUACCCAUGAUCAGAUGACAUAAGGUAUAGAUGAAUAUGAUAGAAUGGUCAAUUUUCAUAUAAGGUGCCCCAUAGAAUUGGUAUGAAUGUGACAUUAGAGCACAUGUAACGGUCAGUUGCUACUUGCUAGCAUGAUUUUGUGAUAGUUUCAUGCAGCAUGAGUAGUUCUAUUUAGUACCCAGUCCAGAAUUAAAGUCUAUUGCAGUUCGUUUGUCAAAUCUAAUGGUGGUUUCUGCAAUUCAGCAGUUAAAAUAUGUAAUGAUAGUUUGGUAGGUGCCAAACGUUGUGUAUUCAUAAUCAAGCAACAUUUGUUGCAGUAAACUAAUCAUUGACUUAUGGGACUGAAGGUUUCUUUGGGUUAUAUUGACGGCUGAAGACAUGUGAUUUGUCAGUUCUUCAUAGUUACUUUCAGUUCACACGCAUUCUGCAAGGUAGUAGAACUCUGUAAAUCUUGUUUUAAUUCAAAAUAAUGAAGAUAUGUUUGUGGCAAUUAUAUUUGCUUGCCUAUGUUAAUAGUCCUGUUCCUGACUUGGUUGUGCGAUUCUGUGGAAAAUACACAUUAGCAUUCCAGUUGCAAAAUUUGCCACUUUGUCAUAAUGCCAUGUUCUGCAUUUUAGUUUUGUUGGGCAAGAGGCGAUUUAAGUGUAAAUAUGGUUUAUUGAUUUGGGCGCGUUUUGUGAUCUGCCUGUAGCAUAAUUUAAACUACACAACCUUUGAGGGUUUUAAGCAGCAUACUACUAAAAAGGGAUCUUUGGUGGCAUAUCAGUUGCCGCACACGACAAAAUGCUGAAUACACUUGUUUGGUCCUUCAUCUUUAUGCAUGCAUUAUUCAUGUGUACAUGCUUGUUGCCAAAAAAGUGAGAUUCUACUGGGAAUGAAACUGCUAUUACUAAUUAGGAUAUUGUCAAAGUGAUGGCAUUGCUGCUUACUUGUUUUGGGAUUAGGGAAGUGCUGUCGAAUUCUUAUACUAAUAAGCUGAAUAUUAGCAAUAAGGAUUGACAUUGUAAUGAAAAUCAAUAGUCAUUACUCAAUGAGAAUUAUCAUUUGAGUGUCUUGUUUGAUUGCUGUCGUGCCAUGACUGGUGAUCGCAUACUCCUCUGGUGUCAUCAUUUUUAUGUCUAAUGCUUUCUGUCAGCAUUGGGAGGCACACCAAUGAUGGCACAUUUCUUUUUAUGCUGACAUUGUCUUAUUUUUAUUGCAUAUAUUGGAUAUAGGAAUUAUGUUAUUUGGUCUGAUGAAUGCUUGAUGCUACAUUUGCAUGCAGUACCAAAUGUCGCAUCUAAUCCUGUAGGUUUGAUGUAUGUAAGUUGGUUAAUUGUGUUGGAUUUUUUAGUUGGUUCCAUUUGAAGCGGGCAUCGAGCAUCUAGCAUAACUUUGCAUUUGAUAGACUUUUUGCGAACCAUGAGUGGGAGGGGAACUAUAUUUUGGGUUUUCAAAAGUUGGAUAGGAGGGAACCAAAGCCAAAUAUGUAGCACAUGGUUAAUGAAUCAUAGGAGUAUAUAGGAAGAUAUGCAUACCACACAUUGCAUAUAUCUUCCAAGCCGUAAGAUAUUAAGUAUGAAGAUAUGUAUAACGCAUAUUGCAUAUAUCUUCAGCCAUUUGACAUUAACUACGAAGAUAUGCAUACNNNNNNNNNNNNNNNNNNNNNNNNNNNNNNNNNNNNNNNNNNNNNNNNNNNNNNNNNNNNNNNNNNNNNNNNNNNNNNNNNNNNNNNNNNNNNNNNNNNNNNNNNNNNNNNNNNNNNNNNNNNNNNNNNNNNNNNNNNNNNNNNNNNNNNNNNNNNNNNNNNNAGCAUCACCGACCUUACAUACACAAUGUACAUUGUGAUUACACAUCCUUUAGGUUAAUUAGUUCUCUUCUUUCUAUGUACAUUGUGAUUGUGGAUAGGUUUGUUGAUUACAUAUCCUUUAGGCUAAUCAAACGGACUAGUUAAUUUUUAGUAUAUGUUUUUUUUCUCAAAAAGAAUAUACUGGUUCAGUAUCCUUAUGCGUGCAUGUCAACAUGUUAUGUACCACACUGAUCAAACAGUGCAAAUAAAUUCAGCAUGUGGAUGCACAUGGUAGGUUCUUUGUAUUUCAUAAUAUCAUAGUAAUAAUAGACAGGCAUUAGAGAACACUAGAAAAACGCUCGUGCGUUGCAACGAGGCCACAUUAACUUUAAAAGUUUAAUACUAAUAUUAUCAUACAUAUCAAGUGACAUUAGCGACCUUUUUUACGAUCAAAUCCUCUCACACACACUCUCUCACUCCCUCUUCCUCACUCUCUCCCCCCCUCUUCCUCUCUCUCUCUCUCUCACACACACAUGCAUAUUCAUUUUAUUGGGUAUGGGACCAUAAUCCAUCUAUUUCACAUACACACGCUAGUGCAUAAUAAUAUGGAUUAUGUGUAUUAUAUUUGCCACCACAACUGAGGGAAUUAAUUUCAUGUAAAUCGGCCAGCCACAACUCCAAGAAUACGCGGAGGAGGUGGCCCGGGUCGGCGUCGGCGCCGUCCGGCGCGGGCCAUGGGCCCGCUUCCAAGUACGUCCGCACGUCGGCCACUCACGCCGGGUCCUUCAAGUGCCGCUUCCACUGCACCAACUCCCAGGGCCACGGCCACGGCCAGGGCCAGGGAAGCCGCCCUUUCUUCGCCCCCUUCAUCGGCCGCGGCCAACACGGUGCCGCGGUAUCUGGCCUCACCGUCCUCGUCCUUCGGCACCGUCGCGACCCAGUGACGCAGCCCAAGCAUCGACCUUGAGAAUCAAGAAUGCUCGACAAUGGAGAGGGAAGGGAAGAUCGUAUACAUGUCAUAAGAAAGGGAGUUUAUUUACUGCUCCCUCGAUGUAUUGUUUCCUUUGUUUGGAGAUUGAUUACCAUCCGUGAGUUAAGGUAAGGUUAAUGUGAUUGAGCGAUUUUUCUGAAAAUCAAUUAUUUGUUUUCUAAUUAAUGUGAUUGAGUGAUUUAAGGUAAGGUUAAUUAAUUUAGAUUUGAUCUUUAGAGAUUGUUCGUGAUUGAUUCUAUAUUACUAAAUAACUUGCACCAGUAUGAAAAGUUCUGAUAUGUUUAGAUUUUUUUGUUGUGUGANNNNNNNNNNNNNNNNNNNNNNNNNNNNNNNNNNNNNNNNNNNNNNNNNNNNNNNNNNNNNNNNNNNNNNNNNNNNNNNNNNNNNNNNNNNNNNNNNNNNNNNNNNNNNNNNNNNNNNNNNNNNNNNNNNNNNNNNNNNNNNNNNNNNNNNNNNNNNNNNNNNNNNNNNNNNNNNNNNNNNNNNNNNNNNNNNNNNNNNNNNNNNNNNNNNNNNNNNNNNNNNNNNNNNNNNNNNNNNNNNNNNNNNNNNNNNNCAGCGAAGAUGGGAGGAGGUACCAAAAAAAACCAUGGGAGGUGAGACAAAAAAAACCCUGAAAGCCCAACUGCUCCAUUAGGAGUAGAGAUACACCAAGUUUUUAUGUUCAAACAAAAAUCUACAUCAAGUUUUUAUGUUCAAACAAAAAUCUACACCAAAUUAGAAUUCAAACAUGUUCCAAAAAAUGGUUGUAGACGCCAUAAAUACUUGCUUAUAUUUUCCCCUUUGAGAUAUAUCGAUCCAAACAACAAAGAUCAGUAGUCCGUAAGAAAUGCUCUUUUACACUAAACAAAAAUAAAUUAAAUGUGUUUGAAUCUUAAAAUAGGCAAGAUAUUCAUCAUAUCAUAUAUGAAGUUCCGAACAACCAAGAACACAAUAAGAAAUAUCUUAAACAAAUCAAACACAAUAAGAAAUAUCUUAAACAAAUCAAACGCUAGCAUGAAUCUUUCUUAAACAUGAUGCUCUUCGACAUUAAGUAUGAAGAUGUGCACCACACAAUGCAUAUAUCUUCCAAGCCAUUCGACAUAAGUAUGAAUAUAUGUAUAUUAUAUAUCAUCCAUGCCCUUUGACAUAGUAUGAAGAUAUGCAUACCACACAUUGCGUAUAACAUCUAUGCCCUUCGACGAGUUUUAUUGAAUGUACACCAUCCAUUGUGUGUAUGUGCAUACCACACAUUGUGUAUAAUAUUCAUGCCCUUCCAUAAUUUUUAUUGAAUGUACACCACCCAUUAUGUGUAUCAUCCACGUGAUAUGUAUAACACACUUUGCAUAUAUCAUCAAUGCCUAUGGUGAUUAAGUACGUAGAUACGAAGGACAUCCACACACACACACACAUGUUGCAGUUGCUUGCGGGGUGUCAUUUAUUUCAUAUAUAUCUUGAAUCAAUUGUUAAUGAACUAUCCCCUAAAGUCGAGUAAAGUGGUCGCAAUAUAUUAUGGUGACAUUGUUUCAACCAUGUUGCUUUGUUUUCGUUCUGCAUGCCGAGUUGAAACGCGCCUCGUUCGUCAGCUCCGGUCUACAUGCCCUUGCUGGUCAUCACUUCCAUUUGUGUACAAAUACAAUCAUCUCUACACAGAGAAUGGAGGAACUUGCACUACUGUAGGUUGCUGCUAACGCGACACUACGAUCAGAGACCCUUUGACGAAACUGUGUGCGAUGCAUUAAUCACAAACAAUGAUGUAAAAAACCCGUCAAAAAAGAUGCAAAACGUUUGCGAUGAUGGAUACAUCAAACACGGUUCAGAUUUUAGUUGCGUGUGCGAUGCAGGACAUACGAUUCAGUUCAGUUAACUGUUUGCGAUGUGGCAGAACAAAAGAAACAAGCAGCCAUAUGAAGGCAUGUGCGAUAUACAGUUUACAGUUCACUCGGAUGAACUGUUUGUGAUUAGGCAACACAAUAGAAACGGUCAGCCAAAUUAAAGUGUGUGCGAUAUACGGCAACACAGUUCACUCGGAUGAACUGUUUUCGAUUAGGCAACGCAACAGAAACGGUUUAACCAGAUCAAGGUGUGUGCAAUGGAGGGCAUAUAGUUCAUUCCGAUAAACUGUUUGUGUUGAGCCAAGAGAAUAGGAACAUUUCACAUAAACAAGAUGUGUGUAAUACGCGGCAAACAUCCAAUUACACAGAUGGCUAGUACACACAUGACAUUUCCACACACCAAAGUAAACUAUUAUAUGCAUAAUUAAUUAGGAUAAACGAUCAUCUGAUCAUCAUCUACUUCUUGUGCUAGCUCGAUGUUCGUUCUAUUCUAAGUUUCCAUUAAUUGAUGGCAUUUUAUGAACACGCCACAGUUUCCCGCCAUUUCCUCACUGGUUUCCCGCCACCCAGCGAUAUUGCGCAUACACCUAGGCGACGCACGAUGCACGGAGGCAACAAGCAUAGCCUAUAGCACAUCCACCUUUUUCAAGCAUGCCAACCCACCAAAGCGUCGCCUCUGCCAUCAACCUUGUUGACAAGGAAAACGAGCAGGCGCCACGGCCCGUCGAGGCUGAGGCACUCCCCGGCAACGCGAUGGACGAUGCCGUGACGCGCGUCAUCGCCAGGGUUGAGCAGACCCUUGGCGCAUGGCGCUUCAGCGCCGCGGAUCAAGAUAGGCAUGUCAGCGCGGAGAGGCUGCAGCUCACCGCGCAACAUGAUCGAUGGCGCGCCGCAGAGCAAGCUAGGCACGUCCGCACCGAUAGGCUGCGGCUCACUGCCGGCGAGACCGUUGGAGCGCAGAGCGAGAGGCGCGACGUGGCGCACAGCAAGAGCGGAUCCAUCGGCGCUUGCCUGGUGUCGACAGGGCGUCGCAGCUGGGUACACGUCCCGUCAGUACCCCCAUUCCUCGCCAGGAGUGGGCAGAGGCCCUCUGCACCGUACUUGCACCAGAGGUCGGCCGCACCGUACUUGCACCGAACGCCCGCUACGCCGUUCGCAUGGGUUAUGUCGUUCGCCUUGUCCGCGGCCCGCUCGAUGCCAACGCGCUGGUCGGUAGGCUCGACCGCCUCCUUGGCCCAGGUGUUCACCUGGGCACAGUAGAGGAACAUGACCGUCGCAUCCUCGAGCUGGUGAUCUUUGAUGAAAUAGCCAACUUGGAGCUCGAGAUCGCACUCGAGAUGUGCCGCGAGCGUGUUGACAACUUGGACGAACGCCUGCACGAGUUCAGGCAGAGCCGAGAGCUACCGUAGGCAAGGGCUGCUGGUCAUGGUCUCAUGGACGCAUUUUAUUUUGUUGAGUCAUUUCGACGUGGAUAGCUAUGUAUUCACAUCAAUCAUAGUAUUCCUCUGUUUCAAUGUGUGUACUCUGUUUUCCAUUUUUAUAUGUUCUGUUUCAAUGUGUGUAUAUAUGCUUUUCAUUAUGUAUAUGUGGAUGAUAACAACUAGAUUCAAAUUAGUAUACAAAAACAGAUAGAACAUGGAAGUCAUAAUAUAUAUAUGUAAAUUGUUCAUUAGUUCAUCACAUAAUAUAUAUAAUAUCAUCACAUAUACGUGAUGAUACUUAACUAAUAGGUACAAUACAUAAAAUUGAAAACAAACAAUACAAAAACUAAUAAUCCCUCCCGGGGCUAGUAUUCCGGCAGCCCCUCGCCAGCAGCUCCCUGGUGCGCAGCGUCUUCCCAGUGCGGAGGCAGUACUCCGCCUCCUCCGCCUCGCUGCGCUUGAUGUACCGAUCUGCCUCUUACUGGCGAAUGACCACGAACGAUCUUGCCAUUUCGUUGGGUGCCCACCAGAGCUCCUCGUCGGUGGCACGUUGGAGCUUAUCGGCCCACCUUCAUGCAGUGAUGAGGCGCCCAGCGCCUUUGACCUUCCUCACAAAGUACCCGUCUUCGUACACCUCCUCCGCACAACGACGCGCCCGCCCCAAAAGCUCAGCCGCCUCCUUUUUCCAGGCGGCAUCACGGGCUUCACAGGCCGCCUGGUACCUGGCUUCCUCCUCAGCCAUCUCUUUCUUGAACGCCACCUGCCUGGCUUUCUCAGCCGGCGACAGCGACUUCCACAGACAAAGAUUGUACUGGCCCCAAAACCAAUCCAAACUCGGGGGCUCCGGUGCAACCUCAUCCGGCGGCGCGUAGGGGUCCUCGUCGCUGCUAUUCGAGUGAGCGUUCUUGGGGGGCGGCGACUCCUCGUCGGCGCGUGGGUAGACCGGCGGCGCCAUGACAGAGAUUUGAGAGAGGGAGAGAAAGAUAGAAAGAGAGAGAGAGAGAGGGCGAGCGUGGGGAGGAUGUAGAUGAGAAUGCAGACGUGAUGACGUGAGCAAGGUAGUAUUUAUCGGCGACCGGAAUCUAGAUCGACGGGAACAGUACACACGCCGGUCACCGGAAUUUAUUGUAGUUUGAAUUACACACGAUUCCCGCAGCAAAAUCCGUGUGUGAACAUAAUAGCUGACGGUUUUCAAUACAGAACCGUGCCGGAUUAAUGACCCCCGCCACUCACCUACCAAAACCUCGAGCCACGAAAUAGAGUGCCAAUCGUGUGAGGGCCCGUUGUCGUGCCAGAUCUUUAAAUUUUCUUUUUUAAGCACCAGAUAUUUACAUCAUCUGAUGAUUUUUUAACUCGCACACAAGUACACAAAAAUAUGAUUUUUCAAACCAUUAUGGUUAGUGGUUGCAUGUGGAUGUAGUUCAAAUUUGAAUUAUGGUCAUUAAAUGGCUAGAAAAUCACUUAAAUGUCUUUAAAAGGUCAAAUAACCCCUAGAAUUUUCCAAAUUUUCACAUGAUAGUUGUAGUAGUGCACCUUAAACAUAGAAAACAUUUGAAGGCCGUAAGAGGAAGCUAUCUCCCAUUCGUCAUCAAACAUGCAUUGUUCCCUCUCGGAACCACGAGCCUUCUAGUGAGUUGCUCCGGUUUGUGAGGGGUGUGUGUCCAAGCUUUCGUCAAACAAGCCAAUUUUUUUACCACAUCAUCUUGGUGGCAUGACAUUAUAUGAAGCAAGGUUUCAUGUUUUUCUGAUUAUUUUUUAAUUUUUUGAAAUUUAAAUGCCAUGGCACUCCAUGGAUGUGUCCAUGCCGUGAGACCAAUAUGUUCGAAAAUUCUUUCUAAUUUACUGCACAUGGAAUUAACUCGCACACAAUUACACAAAUAUGAUUUUUUAAACCGUUAUGGUUAGCCGUUGCAUGUAGAUGUAGUUCAAAUUUGAAUUACGGUCAUUAAAUGGCUAGAAAAUCACUUAAAUGUCUUUAAAAGGUCAAAUGACCCAUGAAUUUUUCCAAAAUUUCACAUGAUAGUUGUAUUAGUGCACGUGAAACGUAGAAAACAAUUUGAAGGCCAUAAGAGGUAGUUAUCUCCCAUUCAUCAUCAAACAUGCACUGUUCCCUCUCGGAACCACGAGCCUUCUAGUGAGUUGCUCCGGUUUGUGAGGGGGUGUGUCCAAACUUUCGUCAAACAAGCCAUUUUUUUACCACAUCAUCUUGGUGGCAUGACAUUACAUCAAGCAAGAUUUCAUGUUUUUCUGAUCAUUUUUUUGUUUUUUGGAAUUUAAAUGCCAUGUCACUCCAUGAAUGUGUCCAUGCCAUUAGACCAAUAUGUUUGAAAAUUCCUUCUAAUUUACUGCACAUUAAAUUAACUCACACACAAGUACACAAAAAUGAUUUUUCAAACCAUUAUGGUUAGCUGUUGCAUGUACAUGUAGUUCAAAUUUGAAUUACGAUAAUUAAAUGACUAAAAAAUCACUUAAAUGUCUUUAAAAGGUCAAAUGACCCCUGAAAUUUUCCAAAAUUUCACAUGAAAGUUGUAUUAGUGCAUGUUAAAUGUAGAAAAAAUUUGAAGGCCGUAAGGGGAAGCUAUCUCCUGUUCGACAUCAAACAUGCAUUGUUCCCACUCGGAAACACGAGCCUUCUAGUGAGUUGCUUCGAUUUGUGAGGGGUGUGUGUCCAAACUUUCGUCAAACAUGCCGAAUUUUUUACCACAUCAUCUUGGUGGCAUGACAUUACAUCAAGCAAGAUUUCAUGUGUUUUUUAUCUUUUUUGGAAUUUAAAUGCCAUGGCACUCUCCAUGCUUAAUUGUGUCAUAGUUGUUAGACCAAUAUGUUUGAAAAUUUCUUCCAAUUUACUGCACAUGGAAUUAAAUCACACACAAGUACACAAAAUAUGACUUUUCAAACCGUUAUGGUCAGCUGUUGCAUGUACAUGUAGUUCAAAUUUAAAUUACGGUUAUUAAAUGGCUAGAAAACCACUUAAAUGUCUUAAAAUGUCAAAUGACCCCUGAAAUUUUCCAAAAUUUGACAUGACAGUUGUAUUAGUACUACAAAAUUUCUCGUAUAUUUAAAACACCAUCCGGUGGCACUUUACUCCAAAUUUGUCUUUCACAGCUAAUAAAAAUAUCCACAAUAUCACACACAAUUUGUUUGUAGGAACCGUUUGCGAUGAAAAUUUUGGGUCUAUUUAAGUCUUCCUCCUUAAGCUUCGCCGACUCGUCUGCUUCAGUGCCAGCAACCCCCGAAUCCACGAAUCCCGAUCCCCAUUAUCGCACCCCAUUCUUGCAAAGAUGACACCAUGAAAACGCUUCAUGAAGGCCCGUACGAUGGCCGCGUCCUCCCCGAGCGCCGCCGCCCGCGCCGAGAGAGCGCGACCGCCUACGCCGAGAGGGCCGCCACAUCCGCAUUGAGCAUGGCCGCAUCCGCCGAGAGGGCGUCUGCGGCAGCCGAGAGGGAAGCUGCAGCAGCCGAGACGGCUGCAGCUGUUGCUGCGACGGUGGCUGCAAACGCCGAGAGUGCUCGAGCUGCCAUCCGUGCCGCCGAUGUCGCCCUGGCCCGGGUCGAGGCCAUCCAUGCCAAGAUCAAGGACGCACACGCCAAGAUAUUUCAGGCCACCUCGGAAUCCAGCAUGCAACCCACAUACGAAAAGGCGAAGUUGGCCAUGGAGCACCUGCUUCCUCAUGAGAUCGCCGAGCGGGAGCUCGAGAUGGAGGAGGAGGCGGAGAUCGAGGAGCGCCGGGAGGAGGAGUUGCGCGUGGCCGAGGUCGAGGUAGAGAAGAGUAUGUUCGUCAAGGAAUCAGCGGUGGAGUACCAACGCGAGCUCUGGCGUAGCCACUACUACGAGUACUAUAACCUUGAGGACGACGCUGAGGACGAGGACAAGGAUGCAGUCUACUUCAGCAGGGGGACGCGGAGUCCACCCACGGCGGCAUUUCGCCAGGACAAGUCAUCGACGUCUCAUCUCACACCGGCGAUGCAUAGGCCGGCGUGACGGCGUAUUUUUUAAAAUUAUGCAUACUUAGGCUUUGUUUUUAAUGCCGGUCUUUUGUUAGAGCAAUGUUUAGGUCAACUGACUCUGUUUAAUUACUAAAAUUGCUCGAUUCAGUAAGUGUGGUAUGUGUGCUGUACGCUCUUUUGUGUGCCCAAAUUAGCAAGCGAUGUUAAAUUAUGCAAUGACAUACCCGGGGAAAUUUCCACCAAAAUUUGAAUUAUCAAACUCAUCCCAUGUGGGUAAAGCAGAAGGAUCCUUUGCGAUGCACACAAUCUUUGAAAGUGAAUGGUGUCCGGCGGCACCGCGCGCAAAGUUUCCCUCCACAUUUCCAAAAUUUUGGCCUACCGCCAAAAUAUCUACCCCGCCCCCUUCCCCACCCCUUUUCUCCCCGACCACAAGUCACAUUUCCCCUGUUUCCUCCUUCCUUCCUUCCUAAGCUAUAGUCGCUUCCUCACUUGCUUCCUCGCUCUCGCCGGCUCGCAUCCUACCGCCGGAGUCGCCAUGAUCUUCUUCAAUGGCCUCUCCAGCGGUUCCUCCUCCUCCGACGACUCCUUCACCACCCGGGUAUGCCUGUCUUCUCUCUCUUGGGCUAUGACUUGGAAUGAAGGAUUUUAACCCGGCGGUCAAUUUGAGUCAUUUCUUCCUCUUGUAGGUCCCUAGGACCAUCAACUGCAACGAAUGGAGUGGGGUGGCUGAAGAUGUGUCUGCUCAUUGUCACCAUCAAUCUCCAUGCGUGAAUCUAUUUUUAUUUGAAUCUAUGGACAGUGGGAGGAAGUUUCUGGCAUGUGUAGAGAAGGUUAGACCCUCUUUCAUUGUUACAAAUCAUUUGUUAGAUGUGAUUCAGACACUGUCACGGUCCCAACCCAUUCAUAGCACACCUUCAACCAAACGCAUCCUAAGAUAGUGUCACAGUUUAUACCUAGUAUCUAAAAAUGUUGCCAUCUCAUCAACGGUGGCAUUAGAAAAUUAUUUGGCACCGCUUCAGCAGGUUGUGCAGCCAACUUUGGUCCACACAUCCGAGCAGCCAAGCAGUAAAAUACUAAAUCUUUAUGGCACGAAGGAACUGGGCAUCGGAGCAACUAGGUGCUCCGGAGUCCGGGUCCCUGAUUUUUUCCGCUGCAUCGGCUCGCCAGUGCAGGGCACCGGUGCGAGAUGUAGCAACAGUUGUCUUUGCACUAGUUUUGGUAUACAUAGUGGACGGCCUUAGUGCUAUUAGUUCUAUGUUAUUAAAGUUGUGCAUUUACACACCUGUUAGUAUCAAUUUGCUGUCAUCCAAAUACUGUCGCUAUGCUGUUGCAGUUAUAUUUACCUUUCUCAAAAAAUGUUCAAUUUGUUAUUUAUAGUUAUAUGAGUAAGAACUUGUAGCAUUGUUGUAGUUAGUUAUAACUUCUAAUGUUUCCGAAUUUGGCUGUUGUCUCAAUAGCAAUUAAUUCAUUUUCACAUUGAUCUUUUUGCGAAGAUAUGUCAUAAUUAACCUAUUUCUUCAGUUUUUUAAAAUAAGUAUAGGUGAUUUUCUAUGUUGCUAUAAACCCAUUUCCCCUACAAUUUUUACUGAUCUAGUUUUAAAUAUUAUAGGAUGAAUGAAAGUGUUCUUACUUGGAGUGGGUUGAUCAAGAGUGGCCACAGUCUUUGAAGAUGUGCCUAGCAAAGCUCUGGAGCAUGUAUGAGGAAGAUAACAGAGGUAGGCUUAGAGAAAGUGUUGUCAAUGCUGAAGAAUAUUUGAAGAUGCGGGAUAAAGGAGGAAGGUGGAGAAUGAGCUCAGAUUUUUUAAAUCAGACUUUGCUAAGAUGGUGUUGGCGAAGGAUGUAAUGCCCCGUAUGUAACUUGCCAUAUUUGUAUUCCAACUCUUGCCAUUUCUGGCACUAAGUUAUGAUAUUCCUCGUUGAUGGGUUUUGUUGUCGUGUUGCCUUUGUCUUUGUCAUGCAUCUCAUAUCAUGUCAUCAUGUGCAUCGCAUUUGCAUACGUGUUCGUCUCAUGCAUCCGAGCAUUUUCCUCGUUGACCGUUUUGCAUUCCGGCACUCCUAUGUACUCCGGUGUCCCCUUUUCCCUCUUUUCAUGUGCGGGUGUUAAACAUUCUCGGAUUGGACCGAGACUUGACAAGCGACCUUGGUUUACUACCGGUAGACCGCCUGUCAAAUUUCGUGCCAUUUGGACUUCGUUUGAUACUCCAACGGUUAACUGAGGAACCGAAAGUGCCUCGUGUGUGUUGCAGCCCAACACCUCUCCAAAGUGGCCCAAAACCCACCUAAACCACCUCCAUUAUCUCAGUCGUUCGAUCACGAUCGCGUGGCCAAAAACCGUGCUCAAUUUGGAGUCUCCUAGCUCCCUCUACCUAUAAAUAGGUGCUCCCCUCCGAAAUUCCAGCAGUCCAAACCCUAAACCUAGUCCCUCUCCGCGUCGGACACGUCCGGCCGGAGCCGGACGCGUCCACCGCCGCGCCCGUCCAACCGCGUGCUGACACGUGGCACCCCUGAGACCACUUCACCGCCUCCCGCCGCCGCCGGCCCGCGGGGCCCGAAGCCGCCGCCGCCCAGGUCGCGCCAGCCCGCCNNNNNNNNNNNNNNNNNNNNNNNNNNNNNNNNNNNNNNNNNNNNNNNNNNNNNNNNNNNNNNNNNNNNNNNNNNNNNNNNNNNNNNNNNNNNNNNNNNNNNNNNNNNNNNNNNNNNNNNNNNNNNNNNNNNNNNNNNNNNNNNNNNNNNNNNNNNNNNNNNNNNNNNNNNNNNNNNNNNNNNNNNNNNNNNNNNNNNNNNNNNNNNNNNNNNNNNNNNNNNNNNNNNNNNNNNNNNNNNNNNNNNNNNNNNNNNNNNNNNNNNNNNNNNNNNNNNNNNNNNNNNNNNNNNNNNNNNNNNNNNNNNNNNNNNNNNNNNNNNNNNNNNNNNNNNNNNNNNNNNNNNNNNNNNNNNNNNNNNNNNNNNNNNNNNNNNNNNNNNNNNNNNNNNNNNNNNNNNNNNNNNNNNNNNNNNNNNNNNNNNNNNNNNNNNNNNNNNNNNNNNNNNNNNNNNNNNNNNNGGCAACUCUCUCCUCUCCGGCAGCUUCUCCGGUGAAGCUCCGGCCGUGCCUCGGUUCACGUGCCCCGGACGAACCCUAGAUCUCGAGGUUGUUUUUUUCCACUAAGUCCUCAGUUUGCAACAUUUUUAGCUCCUGUUCAUUGCAUGAUAUCUCUGGACCCGUAGCUCCGUUUUGGGCGUGUAGCAUAUCAAAUUGUUUGUCUGGAUGUGCACUUAAUUUCAUUCCAUUGCACCAUGUUCAUUUGAGUUCAUGUUGAUGCCCUAAAUGCCGUUGCAAGAGUGCUAUGUAAUGUUAGUUUCAGAUUCUUAACAGAUUAUGGACAUUUGUCAUUUUUGCCAUGUUUAAUGUGUGCCUCCUAUGAACUUGAGCCCUACAUGUGUUUUGUUAUAUGCCAUGCCAUAUUUAUAGGGGUGUAUGCCAUGUAUUUUUGUGAUUAUUGUGGUGACUAGCACAAUCAUGUAAAGUAGCUCUCGUGAUGUUGCUGAUUUCAGGGACUUAGAAUUCUUCUAAGUCUUUUCCCUAAUAAUAUUUUUAUGCCAUGUAUUCAUGUUGCUACAGAGUGAUCCAUGCCCUCUUUUGAGCAUUUUCAGUAAGGAUGUUUUUGAGAUAUUGUUAUGCUCUAUCCAUCCAUGUCUUUGUUUGCAAUUAUGGAGCACCCUAGCAUGACUCAAUCUUGCUCUACUUUUGCUAUAAAAUGUUCCUGGCAGAUUGUUUAUGUGUUAAUCAAUUUUGUCGAGGUUGUUGUUGUUUAUCCAUGCAUGCUAUGAGAGUGUUCUUGCCAUGGUUAGAUUAUUUAUCAUGUCUACUUGCUGGGUGUAUGCUUAGCUUGUCAUGCAAUGCCUUGUAGUGAGCGCAUCGAGUUCGCAAACAUGCCUACGUAAAUCUGUUUUGCCAUGUUCCAGUUUUCUGUUAAGUCUGAAUCUGUUAACGAAACUUGCUAUGUUCACAUGGUUGCCAUUGUAUUUUCUGAUCCCUUUUGGCUUAUGGUCAAUAAGGGAAUUUUGUUAUAUGCUUUGUGUAGUUUCAUGCCAUGCCUUGCUUUGCCAUGAUAUGUUUCUGUAGCAUAUUGUUAUCUUGCUCUAAACAUUGCUUCCUGAUAUUAAAUCCUGGCAUGUCGUUAUUUUCACUAAGUCGGUGAACCUGAUAUCUUUUGCACUUUUGCCAUGCUUGUUUGAACCUGCUAUUGUGUGAUUUAGCCGUAGCUGAGUGUUCAUCUUUUGUCAAGCAUCUUCAGUGGAUCACUACCAUGUGCUUUGUUGCUAUGUUAGAGUGCAGUAGCUUAUUUUUCUUGAUGCAUUUAGAUGGCUUCGUGCUGUUAAUUGCAGAUUGGUGCCAUUAUUGUUUUGCUUGCCAUUUGCAAACCGUGCAUCCGAUUCCGGUGAUCUUUAUAUCGAUUUCGAUCGAAAUCAACUCAUCUUUCCAGCGGCACUCUUGGUUUUCCAAGUUGAGGCCUGGUUCGACCUUUCCCUCCCGAAGCACGCAUGUGCAUUGCAUAUCACACCCCGCAUAUCAUGCCAUGUUUUGCACCAUGUUGCUUGCGCAUUGCACUGUGGUUGAUUGUGUCUUCCUUUGCUUGUGUUCUUGCUUUGGGUAGAGCCGGGAGACGAGUACGUGAUCGAGGAACCCGUUGAGUACGCUUACGAGGAUCAAGCUUACGUCAACUUGGAGAACUUUGCAGGCAAGAUGACCAUACCCUUGAAAUCACUUCUAUCUUUGCUUGCUAGUUGCUCGCUCUAUUGCUAUGCCUAUGCUAUGAUACCUACCACUUGCUUUAUCAUGCCUCCCAUAUUGCCAUGUCAAACCUCUAACCCACCUUGUCUUAGCAAACCAUUGUUUGGCUAUGUUACCGCUUUGCUCAACCCAUCUUAUAGCGUUGCUAGUUGCAGGUGAAGAUUGGAGUUUGUUCCUUGUUGGAACAUGAUUAUUGUUGGGAUAUCACUAUUAUAUCUUGUUUACUUUAAUGCAUCUAUAUACUUGGUAAAGUGUGGAAGGCUCAGCCUUAUGCAUGGUGUUUUGUUCCACUCUUGCCGCCCUAGUUUCCGUCAUACCGGUGUUAUAUUCCUUGAUUUUGUGUUCCUUAUGCAGUUGGGUUAUAAUGGGAACCCCUUGAAAGUUCGCCUUGAAUAAAACUCCUCCAGCAAGGCCCAAUCUUGGUUUUACCUUUUGCCACCUAGCCUUUUUCCCUUGGGUUUCGCGGACUCAAGGGUCAUCUUUAUUUUAACCCCCCGGGCCAGUGCUUCUCUAAGUGUUGGUCCAAGCUGGGCGAUGUCCGGUGCCCCCUGGGCAACCAGGGUCUAUGCCAACCCGACGUCUUGCCCAUCCAGUGUGCCCUGAGAAUGAGAUAUGUGCAGCUCCUAUCGGGAUUUGUCGGCACAUUCGGGCGGCUUUGCUGGUUUAGUUUUACCAUUGUCGAGAUGUCUUGUAACCGAGAUUCCGAGUCUGAUCGGUCUGUCCUGGGAGAAGGAAUAUCCUUCGUUGACCGUGAGAGCUUGUGAUGGGCUAAGUUGGGACACCCCUGUAGGGAUUUGAACUUUCGAAAGCCGUGCCCGCGGUUAUGGGCAGAUGGGAAUUUGUUAAUGUCCGGUUGUAGAAAACCUGAAACUUAACUUAAUUAAAAUGGAUCAACAUCGUGUGUAGCCAUGAUGGUCUCUUUUCGGCGGAGUCCGGGAAGAGAACACGGUCUCGUGUUAUGCUUGAACGUAAGUAGACUUGGAUCACUUCUUGAUCAUACAUUCUCGAACGUGCCUUGCCUUCUCUUCUCCCUCUCAUUUGUGCAUGUUAGCCACCAUAUAUGCUAGUGCUUGCUGUAGCUCCACCUCAUACCUUUUACCUACCUAUAAGCUUAGAUAGUCUUGAUCGCGAGGGUGUGAGAUUGCUGAGUCCCCGUGACUCACAGUUUACUUCCAAAACCAGAUGCAGGGACCGAUGAUACCGUUCCAGGAGAUACGAUUGAGCUCAAGUGGGAGUUCGAUGAGGACUCAGGACGAUACUACGUUUCCUUUCCAGACGAUCAGUAGUGGAGCCCAGUUGGGGCAUUCGGGGACAUUAUGCAUUUGGGGUUGUCUUUAUUUUGGUUCCGUAGUCGGACCUUGAUUGUAUCUAGAUGAUUGUAAUGCUAUAUUUAUGUAUUGUGUGACGUGCGAGUGUAAGCCAACUAUGUACCUCUUUUCUUAUUCAGUACAUGGGAUGUGUAAAUAUUACCCCUCUUGCGACAUUGCCUACAAUGCGGUUAUGCCUCUAAGUCGUGCUCCGACACGUGGGAGAUAUAGCCGCAUCAUGGGUGUUACAAAGGAGGAGCACUUUCCCAGUUCGACAGUGCAAAACAGGUUCUUACUAAACUGAAAGCAGAGAUGGAUAAGACAUUCCUGGAUGAUCUCGAUUAGGGAAAUGUAUAUUGUUCUAAUAUUGUUCUUAUUAAGUUGAACUAGCUAUAUGCUGUACUGUGCCGUUUUCAGGUAGCUAUCGUACUGUGAUGUUAAAAUAUAUUUAUAUGCCUGAUAUGAAAUUGGCAAAUAACUGUUUGAUAUGAAAUGUGAAUUUGCGUAAUACUGGAAUUAUUAAUUUUAAACUAAUAAACCUGCUAAAUGGGUCAUGGAACUUUGAAAACGGUUCUAGCUGUAAAGUGCUUGUGAUGGAUAGCCCAAUGCCACACAGUUUUCUUCAUCAAAUCGUGUGUGAUGUAGUUGAUAAAAUCAAACGGUUAACCAAGGCAGAGCAUGUGUGAUAGUUACACCUUUCACACAUGAUCCUAUACAUAAAACUAUGUGGGAUGUACAUACGAACGAAAACAUUUUUCCUGGAUUGACUGUGUGAGAUGUACAUAAGAACAGAAACGUAUUCCUUGGAUUGACUGUGUGUGAUAUACAUAUGAAUGUAAAUGUUUUUCUGGGAUUCACCGUGUGGGAUGUACAUACACACGGAAACGAUUCGAUUUUGAUGCCUCGCCCGAUCGCACACGGGCUCAUUUUGCCCCAGCCUGUGUGCCAGGAGGGCCUAUCCCUGACGGUUUCUGGGUCGUGUGGGAAGGAACCCCCUAUCGCCCACGCUCACUUGGCGACAGUUCCAAAUGCCGUUGCUAAAAUGGGUUAAAAACCGUUUGUAGAGCACCGACACGUACCAAUGUUGCCUUUGUCAUUGACAAGCAGCUGACGCAUCUGUGUCCCGUGAAUGGCAAUCACACUACCGUACACGAGCAAGAUGGAGAGCAACUACGACCACCUGCCGGUGGCGCGACGCCAUUGCUGCACUACAGAGCGGUUAGAACUAAAUAGUUACAGAGGGGGAGCCAAGUGACGGAAGCUACAAAGAGGAGAUGAAAGGCUCAAGGCUAUCAGAUGCACACUAAUUAGUUCUCUUCUUUCUAUGUACGUAUGCAUGUAAAUGUACGUCUUGAUUGUGGGUAGGUUUGUUGAUUACAUAUCCUUCCGUUAUUGUCCAAAUGUAGGCUAAUCAAACGAACUAGUUAAUUUUUAGUAUAUGAGUUUUUUCUUCUCAAAAAGAAUAUACUAGCAUGAUGGUUCAGUGUCUUUGUGCGUGCAUAUCAACAUGUUAUGUACUACACUGAUCAAACGGUGCAAAUAAAUUGAGCAUGUGGAUGCACAUUGUAGGUUGUUUGUUUUUCAUAAUAUCAUAGUGAUAAUAGACAUGUAGAUGGAUAGAUAAUCUGCAUCAUGCAUCAGAGAGCCUACACCAAGUUUUUAUGUUCAAACAAAAAUCUACGCCAAGUUGCCAAAAAUGGUUAAAAAUGCCAUAAAUACUUGCUUAUAUUCCCCCCUUUGAGAUAUAUCGAUCCAAAAAACAAAUAUCAGUAGUCAGUAAGAAAUGCUAUUUUACACUAAACAAAAAUGAAAUAAAUGUGUUUGGCAGGAUAUUCAUCAUAUCAUAUCCGAAGUUCCGAACAACCAAGAACACAGUAAGAAAUAGCUUAAACAAACCAAACACUAGCAUGAAUCUUUAACAUGAUGCUCUUCGACAUUAACUAUGAAGAUAUGCAUACCACACAAUGCAUAUAUCUCUCAAGCCAUUUGACAUUAAGUAUCAACAUAUGUAUACUACAUAUUGCAUAUAUCAUCCAUGCCUUUGACAUAGUACGAAGAUAUGCAUACCACACAUUGUUAUAUCAUCCAUGCCCUUCGCUAAUUUUUAUUGAAUGUACACCACCCAUUGUGUGUAUCAUCCACGUACGUGAUGUGUAUAACACACUUUGCAUAUAUCAUCAAUGCCUAUGGUGAUUAAGUACGUAGAUACGAAUGACAUCCACACGCACACACACACACAUGUUACAAUUGCUUGCAACAUGUCAUUCAUUUCAUAUAUAUCUCGAAUCAAUUGUUAAUGAGCUAUCCCCUAAAGUCGAGUAAAGUGGUCGAAAUAUAUUAUGGUGACAUCAUUUCAGCCAUGCCGCUUUGUCCAUUCUGCAUGCCAAGUUGAAACACACCAUGUUCGCUAGUUCCCAUCUGCAUGCCCUUGUUGGUCAUCACUUCCAUUCAUAUACAAACGCAAUCACCUCUGCGUAGAGAAUAGAGGAACUUUCCUUUGGCAUUGACAAGCAGCCGGCACAUCUGCGUCUUGUGAGGUCAAUCACAGUACCCUACGCGAGCGAGACGGAGAGCAACUACGAGCACCUGCCAGUGGCGCGAUGCCACUACUGCACUGGAUGUAGAGCGGUUAGAACUAAAUAGUUCUAGAGGGAGGUGGGGGGGGGAGCUAAGUGAUGGAAGCUACAAAAGAGGAGAUGAAAGGCUCAAGGCUAUCAGAUGCACACUAAUUACUUCUCAUCCGCAAGAUAGGUCGCACUCUUUUGUUUCUGCUUAUGUUAUGCAUUGCUUAAUAUUACCUACUACUUUAUCGUCCUGUUCACCUCUUAGACUCCAAGUCAGGUCCUAAUUAAUGCUUAAACUUGAUUUUUAAAAUGCUCGUGGGGCACAUAUCGAGGCAAUAAUGAAUAGUAUCUAUGUCUAUUAUUUGGUUCACCUAGGGUAUGUCUAUGUUGUUCAUCUUGGGUGGGAAACAAAUAGUAAAACAAUCAUCAUCUGUCUUUUUUAUUAAAUUAAAGCUAUCACCAGCCUGCUAUCAUUAUUUUUGGAUCUAUCCACUGGUUGUUACCAACGCUCUAGAUUUCUGCAUGCUCUUCUUACAUAAUCUCACUAUAUUUUUUCGUAUGCAUGUCAGAUAGUCAUGCUGAACAUGUCAGAUAUUGUACACAACCAUCUGCUUAGUAUAUAAAUCACAUAUGUGAAUUAUAUCAUGCGAUCCUAAUUAAAGAUAACAUGUAUGUGAAUUAUGUCAUGCGAACCUAUUUACUAAAGACAUCAUAUAAUUAUCUCAUGCCAUCCUAUUUAGUUAGUCAUCAUAUCUUUGAAUUAUGUCAUGUUAUGCUAUCCAGUUUAGAUAGAUAUCAUAUAUGUGAAAUUAUGUCAUGCUAUCCUUUUUAGUUAGACAAUAUAUAUGUGAACUAUUUCAUGCCCUCUUUUUUCCACACUAUCUAUUGCAUCUAUCUCUCAUACAAGGUAUGUACAUUCAACUACUUUUCUUGUUUAUCAGCCAUUUGAAUUGGAGGGGGUGAUGACAGUAUCUAGCGGAGUAAAAACACGAUCUUCAAAUAAAACAGUGCUACCUCUUGGUGGAGAUAGCACCCCGGUUGUACAUGCACAAGAACCAGCCCUACCACACAUAACCCAGAUUCUCGCAGAUUGUACCCCUACUCCGAUGGACAGAAAACCAGCUUCACCCAAUCUAACCCCAACCCUAUCAGAUAGUAACUCAGUUCUAGUUGACAUAACACCAUCUCCACCACAGAGUUCCCAAACAAGAGCAGUUAGUAAGGUAGCUCCACUGCCAAAGCGCUAGGACUACCAUGGCGAACCCCAAAUCCACUAGUUAGUACACCUUUUCCUAUGGAUGAAGCACAACCAGCCAUUCAUAGUUUAGCAUCUAUCUCAUUUGAUGUUGUUAAAUCCAGUGUGCAUAUCUUCCCAUCAUGGAAAUAUUAUACUGAAGAUGAAGAAAAAAGCCAGUUGCAGGUGUUCGUCCAUGAGUUAUGUGUAAGUAAUGUUAUUCAUGGCAAUUACUUUGCUUUGUCCCAUACUUUCUACCUCCAUGUUGGUUAUAAUGCAACAAAUGUUCUCAUUGUUCUCUAUAGAAAAGGGCCGAUUUGGAAACUCAGGAUGAGGCAACCUGUGCUAAUACCUAUGAUAUCUUCAAGAAUGCUUUGUGGCAGUAUCGGAAUUACCUGAAGAAAACAUACUUCACUGGCAAGGGAACUCAUCAAAUUCCCUUACUUUCUCCUGAGACACAUUUAUGGGACGAUGAUCGGGAACGCCUUGUUCUGUACUAUUCCAGAACCAAGAAUGUGGUAAGGUCUAUAAGAUCAUUUUUUAUUUUGAAGUACUAUAUGCCUGCGUCUUACUGUACUCUGUUCGUGUAGAACAAAUGCUUAAACAUGAAGAACAACUAUUCCCAUUUAAGAUUCCAUUGCUAUAUGGUGCAUACUGCUUUACUCUUGUAUCACUGUAUUUACUCAUACAAACUUAUUUUUAAAUUGAAGGAUCCAAUCGAAACUCCAAUGGCACAACAUGUAUGUUUAAUAAUGUUUCUUUAACUAGUUUGCUCUUCUAAAUUGCUCUGUUGAUUUCAAUUUCAAUUGUUUAUACAAUUGUCUUCUCAUACCAUGCACAUUACUAGCAUCACAACAGAGCCAAUAGUGUUGUUGUAGAUGUAUACCCGUGGUACCCAUAUGAAAUCUUGUUGUGUCAUGUAGUUUCCCACACUUGUAUUCUUUCAAUGAUGCUUUGUCUUGAAUUGAUAUGAUCUGAACCGUGUCUCUAUUUUGAUUUAGCAAGACAAUGCAGUGACCAUAGCACAUAGAUAUAUGUUUGCUUGAUGCUUUUAUUAUGUACUACUUCGCAAUAGAAGACUUGCUAGUUUAAUACUGUCCACCUUACUAUUGAACUGGUUCACCAAAAUGAGUAUCAUAUACUACAUGCUAAACCUGUUAUAUGUCUGCUUGUUUCUUCUUUUAGAAUGCUGGCAGAAUAUUGGGGAAGAGUACCUUAUUAAGCAAUGGUAACGGAAGUAAUGCAGAUAAGGUUCAGGAUAGUGAGACAUCCUUGUUGGUCUUCAACAAAGCUGAUAAAACAGCUAAAGAAAAGUAUCUUGAUGACAGCGAGACAACCCCAAAGUCAUGUCUUGAUAUACUGUUCGAGUUAUCCACUACCGCUGACACAAGCUCUUCGAACCCACUGCCUGAAUCAGUUCGGUUUCUUGAGUCUCAACUACAAGCUAAAAGACAUCAAUCAACUAUACUGCGACAAGAAGACGAAGGACUAAGGAAAUCCCUGUAGAAUUCAGAUGCAUACUUUCUGGUGCAACAACAUGUGUUGGGGGAUUUUAGCGCCAAACAAGAGAAAGCUAAUAAGCUUGCUAAGUUUAUUGCCAGCAUGGUGGAUACCCAGGAUAACGCUUCUUGAGCUCUUUUGAAGUUGUUUCAGUUAUGGACUUGUUUUGCUACUGUGUUUAUUCGCACUGGUGGCCAAUUUAGAUGCGCUGUGUAUGUAAUAUGCCGCUUUGUUCCCUAUAUUUGCACCGGUGGCGAACUUUGAUGCCCAAUGGGUGUAAUAUGUGUAAUAGCAGUAAUAGCCUAGUGUAAGUUGCUUUCUUAUUUAUUUUUUUAUUGUCUUGUUUAUUUUUUUCUUGUAGUCACUGCAGUUCUUUUUCUGCGGUUUGAUAGUGGCCACAAUAACCUAUUUUUUAAAAGUAGGCCACAAUAACCAUGGGCAACAUAUGGACCAUUAUAACCAUGGUCCUGCUACCUAUAAAUGAGCUAUAUGCGAACAUGCCGUUAACAAGAUUUCUGUGGGCCGACCCGCUAUCUUUUCACCAAGUCAAACGAGCCAGCCUUUUGACAUGAAUGGGCCAUUGUUGGGCCGAGUGACACGUUGACGUAUCGUAAGCGCAUCCCAUCCAUUCGCUGGAUGACAUCUGUCCCAACGCGGAGUUGACAUGUGGUUCUUUCAGCCAAUGAGAAUUUUACACGUGGAAAAUCGCCAUUGGUCAUUGCUAUUAACGGGUUAUUGGAUCCAAAACUAGACUCGAUAGCUUAACAACGAUCCGUUAUAGUGGAUGCCAUGUGUCGGUUACCCUUGACGAAAAUACUUCCAUGACACACCAUUUAUCAUCAUGGAAGUGGUCACUUCCGUGAUGAUAAUUUUAGUAUUGUCAUGGAACACUUAUAUGACAACACAAGUAUGACUAUCUUGAUUAUGUCAUAAAAUCUUCAUGGAUGUACAUGCAUGACAGAGAACAUGACCUACUGUGACAAACACGUAUCAUCACGAAAGUGUUUUUUGUAGUGAUUCCAUCGAGUACUGUGUGUGCUAGCAUACCGAUCUAGGGAUGGCACUUAAGCAUAGAGACUUCGAUCCAUUUGAGUCAGGUCGCUACAAGAUGGUAUUAGAGCACAGGCUGACUGUAGGACGUGACCACUAGGAAUGGGAAAGACAUAGGAUGUAAGAACUUAUUUUAUGAUUUCCCUAUAUAUCCGUUGGUCUUAUACUCUUCUCUAUUCAUUUCUAACUCUUCUCUAUUUCAACAAUAUAGAUGUCGACCCUCAUCACCGAGUUUGCUCAGCCAGAUGAUACCAUGCCCUUCGGACAACAUCUGAAGAACGCCGUGAAGUACCUGAACAUCGCUCUGCCCACUUUCACCGCGACCUUGCCGGAAGAGAAACACUGGAGAAUUGAUGUCCAUAUUGCCGGACGUACUUUUGGAGAUACCAUCGAGGCUAUUAACUUCUUCUUCGAUGUGCCAACCUGGAGCCUAGGUAGGAGUAUUGCCGCACACGACAAUUUUAGACGCAUUUGUGAGGAAUAUCACAAUGAUAUUGAAAAGACCACCUACAGGAUAUGCGGAUGCCGGGAGCACCAAGGAGAAAUAAUCCACACAAGGGAAGAUGAGUCGAUCACAUCAUACAUACAGUAUCUGGACCAACACAUCCGCCAAUUGGAAAACCAGAUACGAUAGCCUGAGGAGCACCAGGAAGCUGAUCACGUAGAAUAUCGAUUUGGAGGAUGAACUCAAGGCAACCUGUGAUAGAUAUGAGGAGGAAACUAGCGUGCUAUGGGAAAAAUACGUAGACCCAAAGAAGAAGCUGGAUCAGGGAGAAAACAUUUAGAAGGAUGACUCCGACGGGCGUUUCAUCAGCCAAGACAGCGAUUAUGAAGAUGACACUGACGGCGAUGAAGCUGGAGCGGACAUAAUUAUGAUUGAGUCCUCUUUUGAUAAGAGCUAGAUGCAGACCACCAUUUAGACAAUUGUAAUUCGAGUAUAUUAAUCGAUUAGUUAGAUCGUUUUGAUUAGUUUUGAGAUUUCUGUGUGAUUGUGCGAACCUUGAUUGAAAUUUAGUGAUGUGAUUUAGAUUCAUUGACAUCAUUUGCAUCUGGGGUAGUGCUUUCUCUUAGACCUACAUCCUCUCUAAAUCCUCUCUGUGCUAAACCCAAAAGAAAACCAACUCAAAUUGUAAUUGAGAGAAGGUAUAUGACUCCUUCAGAAUGAAUAGAGUUGGAAAUGCAAAGAAAUGUUUUUGGAUCUAUUUAAAUACCUUUCUCACUCAAGAAAGAAAUUAUGAGAGGAGAUAAAAGGACUUCUUCAAUAUCAAAAUGAGUUGGAAAGGUAUUUGGAUAUUUUUGGGAGUUUUAGAAUGAUUUAAAAAAUGAUCAAAUUGAUUUGUUUCAAAAAUUUGUAUUUGAAAAGUUUUAUUUUAGGCCAGGAAAAAGUACACCCAAUUCCAUAUAUCAGGAGGGGGUUUUGUGAAAUUUUCUGUUAUUUUUAUAGUUGGUUUACUAUUUUAGUUUAGCACUAAACCGUUUCUAUUUUAUUAAAAAAAGAAAUGUUACUUUUUAUGAAAAAAAGAGUUUCAACUGCGUCGGGCUAGCGCGAACCAACCAGCCCAGCCGGCUUUUCGGCCCUGUCCAGCUUGCGAAGCAGUACGCCAGUAGCUCGUCCUGCCCUGUCGCUCGCCGCUGCAGCACCGAUAGGUGGGACCCACCUGUCGGUUCCGUCAUCGACCUCGCACCGCAGUCCCGUGCGCCCACGCCUCAUCGGCCGUAGUUUGAAUCCAUUCGGGACUCUAUCCCGAGCCUCGCCCCUUUCCCAUGACUGCCCCUGUAUAAAUACCCGAGGUCCCAACCUCCUUUUCUUUAUGCCACAUAUUAUGAUCCAAUGAUGUGUUGCCAUCCUAUGAUGUUUUGAGUAGAUAUCCUUUGUCUUUGGGUUGAUUGAUGAUCUAGAUUGGUAUGAGUUGUAUGUUUUAUUUUGGUGCUGUCCUAUUGUGCCCUCCGUGUCGUGCAAGCGUGAGUGAUUCCCACUAUAGGGUGUUGCAAUACAUUCAUGAUUCACUUAUAGUGGGUUGCUUGAGUGACAGAAGCAUAAACCCGAGUAAGGGGGUUGUUGCGUAUGGGAUAAAGGGAACUUGAUGCUUUAAUGCUAUGGUUGGGUUUUACCUUAAUGAUCUUUAGUAGUUGCGGAUGCUUGCUAGAGUUCCAACCAUAAGUGCAUAUGAUCCAAGAAGAGAAAGUAUGUUAGCUUAUGCCUCUCCCUCAUAUGAAAUUGCAAUGACGACCACCGGUCUUGUUAACGAUUGCCUAGGAUAAUUCCGCACACCAACCCAUCAUUAUUCCACACUCGCUAUUUAUAAUAUUUAGUAAUAUAUUCUAAAUUUAUGAUAACAACACCUACUUUUAUAUUUUAGCUCUCCGAUAUCAUGCAAAGUUAUCCUCUUCAUACCCACAACGUAGUUUUAUUUAUUGUUUCUAGUUGGAAGCAAAUGUUUGUUGUACAUAGAGUCGUAUCAGUGGCAGAUAGGACUUGAGAGAAUAUUGAUCUUACCUUUAUCUCCUUGUGGGUUCAACAAUCCAUACUUAUCACUUCCACGUUUGGGAAUUGCUACGAUGAUUCGCUACACUUGGGGAUUAUCACUAACUUCUACUGGUGCCGACCUGCCCAGUUUAUGGAAUCUGUUAUCUGGUUACCCUUUAUUAUCACUAGCGGUGAACUUUGAUGCCCAGGGGAUGUAAUAUGAUGUAAUUUCUUUGUUGUAUAGUCUAGGUUUAUUCUUCGUCACGAUGCUGGAAUUUAUUUGUUAUUUCUGCUAUCCUCGCUCCGAGAAAAGGUCGUAAUCUUUGGUCGAUGCGCAAUGAGCCAAUAAGUUACUUUUAUAAAAUAAUAAUUUCUAUACUAAAACCCGCCGGUCGCCAAUCGCUAGUACGUGCCAAACCAUGGGCUACAAUCAUCUUGGGCCAUUAGUUAGGUCUAGUCUUAAUCUGGCCCACUAUUAGUUUCGGGCCUUUAAAAGGCCGAGUAAACUGCUUGCCUUAAUUGGGCCAGAGAAUUAAAUAGGCUUUUUAGGGAUAAAAAACUAGAUUCAUCCUUAAUUGUGGCGAACAAAUCACUGGCCGACAGCGUGCUGUAAUAUAAAUAGGCCCAUUCGGGUGGCGGGCCAUUAACAGGGUGAAAUGUUUUUGGGCCUUGGCUGACCCAAUUACAUGACAGGUGUCGUGGAGUUGACACGACAGAUGUCCUAGAGCAAGGACUUAGUCGUAGGGCCAUCGCACUAGGAAGUUUAAAGGGGUUAAUCGGGACAAAGGACACGAGAGAGUUUUUAUACUAGUUCGGCCCCUUACGAUGAAGGUAAAAGCCUACGUCUUGUUGGGAUUGGUAUUGCUGAGGUUUCGAUCUCCAAGGGGCUCAACUCGCCGGCUUGGUUAUCGAUCUGGUUGUUUCUUCCCCUAAGCCACCGCCGGGUCGUCCCCUUAUAUACACGGGUUGACACCUGGCGGCCUACAGAGCCCCGACCGGCUCAUAAAACGUGUCCGGCUCGGUGACUUCUUUUACAUGCCUUUCUUUACAUAAGUCGGUUUACAAUGUUGGGCCUUAAGUCGCCUUUGGGCUUAUGCCUUCUACAAUUCUUAAUACACUAUCACUUUGAACAUUACUGGGCUUCUUUCCGUAACCCGCAAUUGGGGUUGACCCGGCCCCUCCUGGGCGGGUCAUACCUGGUAGCUAUAUCCCCAACAUUAGGCCCCGGGUUGACUUUGAACUUUGUUCCUUGUCAAUCUUCAAUACUUAGACGAAAUCCAUCUUGUUUUAUCUGAAAAACUCUGUAACCCGCCGUGACGUCAUCUUUCGAAAACACAAAAAACUUUCAUGACAUCAUCUUCCAACGGACCUUUUAUCUUUAAUGCUUCCCGAGAAUCGAGGCGUCUAUACAGCCGGAAAACCAUUAUUUGGUUCUCCCUUGAUUUUCGCGCCCGUCUGUUCACAUUUUGUCCUUAUAAAUAAGCUUGCCCCGGCCUUCCUCAUUCCUCUCUCUCUCUCUCUCUCUCUCUCUCUGUGUGUGUGUGUGUGUGUGUGUGUGUGUCUUCUUCCUGUCGCUGCCUCCCUGCUUCUCGAGCUCCGCCGCCGCCGUAGCACUCACCGUUGCCCUCAACGUCGGCCGCUGCACCACCCUGAGUUCAUCCAGAGAGAUGCGGCAACUCUUUGCAGUAGAUCUGCAUCUCGUAAGUUCCUUCUUUCUCACGCAUCUAGAUCUGUAUUAGGGUUGCGAGUUCAUCAGUGUUCUUCACUUGUUCAUCACGGAUCUUCUUGUAGUUCUUCUUCCGCAACUUCUUCUGAUCCAAAAAAGAAAUAUAACUCGUGCGGUAGUUGUUUUGCGUCCAUUUUUGAUAUCAGAAGAUCCCUUUUUCCUGUAUAGAUGCUUCAUUAUAGCUGACGAACUCAUCUGUACUAGAUUUUUAGGUCUAGAAUAUUUUCUUUUUGGGACAUCCAUUUGAUCCAAAAUAAUAAUGAUAGCUUUGUGAAACUUGUUUACGCCAAGACUUAGCUGGAUUCGCUUUCUGAAAGAAUCUGUAGUCAUGGCGGCUUACCACUCCGGCUUUCUUUUCCUUAUAUGUCAUUAGCCCUUAGUUAAGCCGCCGUUACUUGUUUUACAUCUUCAUCCUUUAACUGUUAAUCUUGCCGUAAACUGAACUGGCAUGUUGUUUUUUCUUUUUCAGUUCCUUGCACAUCAUGCCAUCAAAGACACCCACCAUCUGUAACUGGGUCCCCUCAACUAUAACUGAGGAUCGUUUAAAAGAGUUCUUCCUCAUUGGGUUUCUGCCCUCAAAAGCCGCCAUGUCUUAUCGUGCUCCUAACCCGGAAGAAGAACGACCCAAUCCAAAAAACGGCGAGGUGAUUGUCUUUACUGACCACAUGAACCGUGGCUUCUCACCGCCCGGUUCAAAGUUCUUCAGAGAGGUCCUUCACUUUUUCAAACUCCAUCCUCAAGACAUUGGGCCCAAUUCCAUAUCUAAUAUUUGCAACUUCCAAGUGCUCUAUGAGGUAUAUCUUCAGCAAGAGCCGACUGUAGAACUGUUUAGAGAAUACUUCUAUCUGAACUGGCAGAACGACUGCACCAACGGCCUUAGCUUAGAGCUUGGAGGCAUCUCAAUUCAGCACCGGCAGGGUGCUGUCUUCCCUCUCAUAGUUUUACCAAGUCACCCAAAGGAGUGGAACCAAACUUGGUUUUACUGUCAGGACAUCUCACCAGCCAACGAGAAGCCAUUGCCGGGUUACCGCCCCGAUCGUCUUGACUCCAAGUUCGCACUUCCAGAUAAACUUACUAUUGCUGAACGCAAGAGGCUGCUUCCAUCCAUCAGAAGAAUCAACGCUUUGUUGGGGAACGGUUUAACUGGAGUUGAUUUGACCCGCUGCUGGACCUCAUGGCGGGUUAUUCCAUUAAGCCGCCGGUCAAAAUUGAUGUAUGAAUAUGGUGGAGGCCCGGACGACUCUCUUCGUCAUAGUCCGGUUCAAUUAACUGAAGAAGACAUUGUCUCAAUGUCAAACCUUUUGGUGAAUGGGAAAUAUGAAGACUGCAGUAUUGUUGGGUUAAAUCCCUUCUGUAAACUUAACCCGGUACCAGAAGUAAGGAUACUCUGAUCUGUUUUCCUUUGUAUUUUGCCCAGCCGUAUUGUUUAGCACUAAUCCUUCCUCUUGUAUUUGUAGGCCAAUUCUGACUUUUGGAAAGUGAAAUAUGACCACGAAGCUGCCAAGAAGGCGAAAAUCGCCGCCAUGAAUGCCAAGAAAACGACCUGGAGAUCGAAGAAGAAAAAGAAGACCACUGCUGAAGAUUUGAUGAAACUUGAUGACACAUCUGACUCAGAGGUAGCCCUUGAUUCCCUUGGCCAAUUUUUUAACAAUCUUAUUGACACUGAUCCUUACCAGGAUGACACUGGGGCCAGUCAGGCCGGGGAAGCUGAGGUAACUAUUAUUUCCUCCGACUCAGAGCCCUUACCAAGACACAAAGUUCGAUGAGUGAUCCGUAAAGUAAGGUUUUCUAACCCUUUAGCUCACUUGGAUCCCAACUUUCAUUUGAAAAAGCAGCAACAUGAAAGCCGAUGUGAAGCUGGGUUUGAAGAUGAACCGACUAUCAUCCUUCAACAAACUCCUCAGGAACGUCCGAAUGAGGUUUACUUAUCUCUAUCUUUAACUCUUCUUAAUGGAUCCUUCUCCUUGUAUUUCUGUGAACUCUUUUUUAUUCUUUCAGGAGGUGUCUCGUUCCUCUGGCGACUCUUCGCAAACCCAAUUCCUGGCUUUCAAGACUGCUCCCGGGUAAUCAGUAAUCCUCCUUUCUUUUGAGUUGUUCAAUUUUAUCUUUAUACUGACAUUCCUGCAACAUUUUUUCUUAGCGGCCAAGCUAAAUCAAAAAAGGCGAAGGCAACAAAACCGGCGGAAGACCCGCCAGUGCUGGCAUCUGACCCGGCUAGGCCGCCUUCUCCAUUAACUAACGCUCCAAAAGACCCGCCUAUUGACAAUGAAGCAAAUCCUUCGGAGUCGUCUUUUGAUGAAGCCACUGUGAAUCCUUCUACAGCUGGACUGUUGGGAAUAUCACUACUGGGCGUAAACCGGCCUAUCUGGGCUGGGUUAACUUCGUCAGUAGUUAAGUAUGUUAAAGCCCAAGAAGGCAGAUGAGGGUUCAAGGCCCAUAGUCGGUUCAAGGCCUGUAGCCGUAAACCAGCGUUGGUAUUUAACUUGUAUUGUAAGUUAGGAAUAAGUAGAGACCAAACCGGACACAUCUAUGAGCCGGUAUUGGGACUCUGUGAACCGACGGGCAUCACCCGUGUAUAUAAGGGGACGACCCGGCGGCGAUUCAAGGACAAUAGACAACAACUCGAGACAUAGGCGAAGCUUGUUUGCUCCCUGGUCAUCGAAACCCCAUCAAUUCCAUCACAACUAGACGUAGGCUUUUACCUUCAUCGAAGGGGCCGAACUAGUAUAAACUCUCUUGCGUCCCUGUGUCCGCUUUAACCCCUUCAAGCUAACCCGUCGCGAUGGCUCCACGACUAAGUCCUUUCUCUAGGACAUCUGCCGUGACAAAACCACGACAGUUGGCGCCCACAGUGGGGCUAUCGCACGAUGGUUUCAAGUUCUUGGAGGGCCGCUUUGAAGGACUCGAGGGCUACGCCGUAGGUCGGAUGACUAAGAGUCAUCGCGGCAAGCUUUACAUCGAUGAUGCAGGCUAGGGCCCCGAGGCCGGCUCAGUUGAGUACGGGUACCGGGUCCCCUUUGGUGGCAUACACGUUUUCGUCGGCAAGAUCGGAGAACCGGGCCCUGAGCCGGAUAUCUGCACCGACCUCGUCGAAACGGCUCAGCGUGUGCGAUCUGCCCGGGUUAAACCGGCCAUGAAGCGUGCCUUCGUGGGAGUCAUCCAUGGAGGAGGUCAUGAGGAUGGAUCGGGAUCUGGCGGCGAGACCGUCAUUUACUCCGGCGAUGAGUCAUCAACCGGAGAAACCGAAUCUCUGUAUCAGCUACAAGAUGGCCGGAUUGGGGGCUGUUCCGACGGCGACAGUAUUCCAGACCCCUCUGAUCUGCCCAACCGAGUUGUAAUAUUCAUGGCCGGCACACAAGCAGUGCUUCAUUCUUCGACCAUUGCGGCAACAACCUCCGGUUCAGCAGCGGCGACGGCUGUCGGGGCAGGAGGCCCUGUGCGCCCGCCGGCUCAAGUUCUAUCAGAGCUAUUUGAUGCAUUGGCUGUGCUUAUGGCGGAAGCUAAUCCGGCGGAUCAGGAUGUCCACAACGCGGAGAUUGCAAAGGUAAGGGAACAGAUCACCCAUGCCAAGGCGGACCUGGCAGCUGAGGAUACCAGGAUGGCCACAGAGCGGGCCGCUCUAGACGCACAAGCCUACAGGCUCAUGUUGGACCAGAACGCGUCGCAUGAAGUCAUGAGGAGGAAGUACCGAUCCCGUUUGCCUCCGGUUUUCGAGGCCAGAGACCUUUUCAACACCCCGGGAGCAGGAACCAGUAAUCUGCUGGAGGGAAACCAGGCGGAAGCUCCUGGACCGGUGCGCCGGUUCAGCCUCGUCGGAUGGAUCCGCCUCGUCAAAACACUGGUAUACCUCAGGCUGUUUCAACACCUCUGGGUCACUACUCCAACCCAAUGGAUAAUCUCGUCGCCGCCGCUGCACGGCUGGAGGCCAUUCCAAUUGAAGGUGACUCACCGCAGGCGAUAGAGACGCGGCGGGUCAAGGAGCUUCUUAGGACAGCUUUGGACCAACAGGAAGCAUACUCGUACAGCUGCGACCGGAUCCACUCGACCCCUCGCCCAAGCCGGAGCUAUAGCAGGCGUAUGGAGGAACUGGCAGUGUCAAGUAAUGAACGAUGUGGAGCACCCCGCGGCAACAACCCGGCAGGUGGUGCUGAUAACGCUCAGGAAGUGGUGGACCGGGCCCGAGCACGCAGGGAGGCCGAGUUAGCCGCACAAAAUCAGGCUCGGUAGCUUACGCCGGUUCGUCCAGCUAUUUCGGUUGAACCCGGUGUUACUUCUAGCUCUUUGGGGGUGCCUUGCCUUGUCCCCUCUUUACGCAAUGUGCGCCUACCCAAGGAUUUUAAGGGCCCACGCAAGGUACCAAAUUACACGGCGGAUCAACCCCCAGAGACAUGGGUGGAGAGCUAUGAGAUGGCCAUGGAGAUGCUGGAUGUGGAUGAUGCGGCAUGUGCGAAAUACUUCACCAUGAUGCUUGAAGGAAUGGCCCGCACUUGGUUAAAAGGCUUACCGGCCAAUUCUAUCAGUUCAUGGGCCCAAUUACGAACCCGGUUUAUCAAUAAUUUCAAGGAUACAUGUAAGCAGCCCAUGUCGAUAGUAGACUUAGCUGCCUGUGUCUAGGAGGAAGGAGAAUCGACGACUCAUUGGGUGCGCCGGGUCUCACAAGUGUUGCAUUCAUCAGACCGCAUCAAUGCUGACACCGCAGUCUUAACCCUAGAAGGCAACUGCCGGUUUGGGCCCCUAAAGCUGAAGUUGGGACGGAUGAAGCGCCAUUGCACUGACAUGGGGACCCUCAUGGCUGCUUUGGUAAAGUAUGCUGAUUCUGAUAGUACCAAGGAUCCCGAAUCUGAUGAUGACAAGGCAGGGAAGGGAAAGAGGAACAACAAUUCCAAAGGUCAGCAACAUCACUGGGCAGGCAAUGGUGGUGGAGGCAAGCGUAAAGCGGAUGGUAACAUGGACUUUGUGGCUAAUACCAACGCACAGGACAAUGGCCAGCGACGCAAGGGUAAACCGAAAAAUCGCAGUGGGGCACCCAACCCUAACCCGGACCGCCUAAAUUAUCUACUAAGCCAGCCCUGUCCAAGACAUGGGACGAAGGAGGUGCCAGCAAGCCACCUUUGGAAGGAUUGCUUCAUUAUGCAGGAGUUCAAGAAUUCUAAUGCUUUCCGGUAUGAUCACGGCUCCGGCGGUGGCUCAGGAUCCGGGCCGGGUUACGGUGGAGGAAAUUCCGGUUCAGGAUUUAACGGUAAUCUGGGCGGACAUAACAGUCAAAAUAAUCAGAACAACCAGGGUGGUUACAACCAGCAGCAGCAACAGUCAGGUUACCAGAGCAACCCAAAGCAAUUGAAUAGUGGGCAGUACCAUGUCUUUACCACUAGCUUGGACAAGCGAGACCGGAAGGUUCAGAGGCGGGCAGUCAACUCUGUUGAACCGGCCGUGCCACGUUAUCUACGCUGGUCUGAACAACCAAUCAUAUGGAGCAGAGAGGAUCACCCUCCCUAGGUUGAUAAUCUGGGUCAGUUGGCCCUGGUGGUGGCGCCUCAGGUGGGAGGUUACAAGUUCACCAAAGUGCUCAUGGAUGGAGGGAGCAGCAUUAAUAUCUUGUACUAUGAGACCUUCCGUCGUAUGGGACUAACAGAUAAAAAUCUCAAACCAUCUAAUACGGUGUUCCACGGUGUGGUACCUGGCAAGUCAGCAUAUCCUGUUGGUAAGAUAGCUCUGGAAGUGGCCUUUGGAGAUGAUCAUGAUUCUAGGUUGGAAACAUUGACGUUUGAAGUGGUGAAAAUCCAAAGUCCAUAUCACGCCCUGUUUGGGCGACCGGCCUACGCCAAGUUUAUGGCAUGGCCCUGUUAUGUGUAUUUGUAGCUCAAGAUGCCAGGUCACAAGGGGACAAUAACGGUUCACAGAAGCCGCAAAAUUGCUUUGGAGUGCGAGGAAGGAGAUGCGGCCUACGCAGAGUCGGUUUGUGCCACCGAGGAGCUGAAGUAUUAUAAGGACAAUGUUGAUCCAGCGGACAUGACUCCAUUAAAAAAGCCAACUACGGAGCAUGAUCCGGCCCUGAAGUUCAAAUCGGCAGCAGAAACUAAGCUUGUUGACUUUGUACCUGGCGAUUCGUCCAAGCAGUUCAGCAUCAGUGCCAACUUGGAUCCGAAAUAGGAAAGCGCGCUCAUCGAGUUCAUCCGUGAGAAUCUGGACAUUUUUGCAUGGAAGCCCUCUGACAUGCCAGGUGUACCGAGGCAACUCGCUGAGCACACCCUUAAUGUGGAUCCUAAAUACAAACCGGUGAAACAGUUCCUCCGCUGGUUUAACGAAGAAAGACGCAAGGCGAUUGGAGAAGAGGUAGCCAGGCUCUUAGCAGCUGGUUUUAUUGUUGAAGUUUUUCACCCUGAGUGGCUUGCCAAUCCGGUGCUAGUCCUUAAGAAAAAUGGCACCUGGCGCAUGUGUGUGGAUUACACAGAUCUUAAUAAGGCUUGUCCAGCAGAUCCUUUUGCCCUCCCCCGUAUUGAUCAAAUCAUUGAUGCUACGGCGGGUUGUGAGCGUUUAAGUUUUUUGGAUGCAUAUUCUGGCUAUCAUCAGAUCAAAAUGGCAGUUAAGGACCAGGAGAAGACGGCAUUCAUAACUCCCUUUGGAGCCUUCUUCUAUGUGUCUAUGCCCUUUGGGCUCAAAAGUGCCCAGGCAACUUAUCAACGGUGUGUACAAAAUUGUCUUCACAAGCAGAUUGGCCGUAAUGUACAUGCUUAUGUGGAUGAUAUCGUGGUUAAGUCCAGGGAGAAGGAGACUUUGGUUGACGAUUUGAAGGAAACCUUUGAUAACCUAAGGACGUACAAGAUGAUGCUUAAUUCGGACAAGUGUGUCUUUGGUGUACCGGCGGGCAAGUUAUUGGGUUUUCUGGUGUCCAACAGGGGAAUUGAGGCUAAUCCGGAGAAGAUCACAGCCAUCACCUCCCUGGCUAAACCGAAGUGUAUCAAUGAUGUUCAACGCCUGGCAGGCCGGAUUGCCGCGUUAAGCCGGUUUAUCAGCCGCCUUGGUGAGAAGGCAAUCCCUUUGUAUCAGAUGUUGAAGAAGACGGAUCAGUUCGUCUGGAGUUCUGCUGCUGAUGAAGCAUUUGAGGACUUAAAGCGGCAAUUGGCCAAUCCGCCUGUGCUCGCCGCUCCCAUUGACAAGGAGCCGUUACUGCUAUAUGUUGCUGCUAAUGCUCGUGCGGUCGGCGUGGCUAUUGUGGUGGAGCGAAAGGAGGCAGGUAAGGAGCAUCCAGUUCAACGUCCGGUCUAUUAUAUCAGCGAGGUACUCAUUGAGUCCAAGCAAAGGUAUCCGCAUUGGCAGAAGUUGGUGUACGGAGUUUUUAUGGCAAGCCGGAAGCUUAAGCAAUACUUCCAAGGGCACCCAAUUACGGUGGUCAGUUCUGCUCCUUUGGUGGAUAUCAUCCAGAACCGGGAAGCGACUGGCCGGAUUGCCAAGUGGGCUAUAGAGCUUGGGCCGCAUGGAUUGAAGUAUGUGCCUCGGACAGCGGUGAAGUCUCAAGCACUGGUUGAUUUCAUCAAUGAUUGGACGGAAAUGCAAGCACCUGAGGAAAAGCCGGAUCACACAUAUUGGACCAUUCAUUUUGACGGAUCCAGGCAAUUGGAAGGCUCGGGGGCUGGAGUCGUAUUAACUUCCCCACGAGGUGAUAAGUUUUGUUAAGCCGACUGGGCUCUCAGCGCAAACCGGUCCCGCCCAAUGUUUUUCUGGAUGUGCUGCACAACCCGUCGGUGAAGCUCCCUGGUGAAGCGGAUUUGGCUAUUCCUGAUCCGGAGGCUCAAUUGGUGGCAGCUCUUCAUGUCAUUCCGGAUUGGACACUUCCUUACCUGGCGUACAUGAACCGAGGCGAGUUACCAGAGGAUGAGAUUCUGGCCCGACAGAUAGUCCGGCGGUCCAAGUCCAUGACUAUUGUCAAUGGCGAGUUGCAUCAUUGCAGUAUAUCAGGGGUGUUUCAACGCUGCGUGUCUCCCGAAGAAGGCUGUGAAAUUUUGCGUGAGAUCCACAAAGGAGAUUGUGGUCACCACACUGGUUCAAAAUCUUUGGUAGCUAAAGCGUUUCGCCAUGGCUUCUAUUGGUUAACUGCUCAUGCUAAUGCGAAGGAUCUGGUCAGACGAUGUGACGGUUGCCAAAAGUUUUCAAGACGUGCUCAUGUGCCGGCUCAAGAAUUGAGAAUGAUUCCAAUUACUUGGCCGUUUGCGACUUGGGGGCUGGAUAUGGUCGGGCCUUUCAAAAGGUCCAAAGAUAAGAAGACCCACCUCCUGGUGGCGGUUGACAAGUUCACAAAGUGGGUGGAGGCAGAACCGGUUAGCAAGUGUGAUGCGGCCAUGGCGGUUCAGUUUAUCAAAAAGUGAUUUUCCGGUUUGGCUUUCCACACAAUAUCAUCAUAGAUAAUGGUACCAAUUUGUCCAAGGGUGCCAUGAAGGAGUUCUGCAAAUGGGAGCACAUUCGGCUUGACGUUUCAUCAGUGGCACACCCACAGUCCAAUGGUCAAGCAGAAAGGGCUAAUCAAGAGAUCUUGAGAGGCAUCAAGCCUGGCUCAUGGUUCCUUUGCAAAGAACGCCGGGUUGUUGGGUAGAAGAAUUACCAUCUGUGUUAUGGAGCAUCAAUACCACACCCAACAGAUCAACAGGAUACACACCGUUCUUCAUGGUUUACGGAGCGGAGGCGGUUCUCCCCAGUGAUAUCCGUCAUGAUUCACCUCGUGUGACGGCUUAUGUUGAAGCGGACAACGAGACAGCACGGCAAGAUGCUUUGGACCUGUUGGAUGAAGAGUGUGACAUAGCAGCCGCCCGAUCGGCGAUUUACCAAUAGGAUCUUCGUCGUUAUCACAGUCGCCGAGUCAGAACCAGAACCUUUCAGGAAGGAGAUUUGGUGCUUCGGCUCAUCCAAGAUCAGACUGAUAUGCAUAAGCUAUCCCCACCUUGGGAGGGUCCUUUCGUGGUCAGCAAGAAUCUGCAUAACGGGUCAUACUAUCUGAUCGAUAUUCGAGAGCAUAAAGACUCACGUACAUCAGAGGAGGAGACCAACAGGCCGUGGAACAUAGCUCAUCUUCGGCCUUACUAUACCUGAGCCAUUGGCUCUACUUAUGUACAUAUUACAAUGAUGUAUAUAUUAUGAUUAAAUAUAAUAAACCGGAACCUCAGCUAAAGCGGGGUAUCUGUUCUUUUACAUCAUGUGUGGUUACACAGAGUUGUUCUAAAGUGGCCUCCGGUUUACCCCUUGAGUUAGCUUUUCAAAAGCAUCAUGUUAUAUCACUUGGGGGCUUGGUCAUGUCUGAACCAAUGCAAUACCUCUUGAUAGGCGAGAGCCACCAGAUCACUUGGGGACUUGGUCACGUCUGAACCAGUCAUGCCUCUUGAUCGGCCUAAGGCCACAGAAUCACUUGGGGGCUUGGUCGAACCCGAACCAUUGCCACGCCACUUGAUCGGCAUAAAUGCCACGGUUUCAUUUGGGGACCUGGCUGACUUGAACCAUAGCUACACCUAUCGGGAUCUUGGUCGUGUUCGACCAUGGUAACGCCAUCUGAUCAGCUCAAAUAAGCCUCUUUUUGCAAACAGUUUUGUCAUUGCCUUUGCUUUACACUUUUCUUUGAAAGAUAUUUCUUUCUUUUUAUUGCGUUUUUUAAACCGACAAAAUUUUAAACCGGUUCACACUGUCUAUUGACGGUACACGGUCCAUUUUAAUCCGGACACUAUUUGCUCGGUUUGAUUUUUUGUUAACAUCCUAUUAUGGAGUAACACAGUGUUUAUUAUAACCCGGCACGGUUUACAUGGUAAACCGACAUCAUAUAUAUACAGGAGCUGCUAUCUCCUCCAACAGUGUGGGUUUAUAAAACUCCGCUUCAAGAUUGGCCACGCCAACUUCACGUCCAACGAUGGCAGGUAUUAUGUAUCUCAAAAUUUGGUCAUAUACUUAAAAAUUUCGGAUGUUUUGAUUUCAUGUAUGCAGACAUCAUAUUCCUCCUGACGGUACAACCGCGGUGGCACUUUAAGAUUUUUAUUGCAGAAAGUACUUUGGAAAGUUCAUCACCCAAAGGAAGAGCAAGUUGCAGUAAUUCUGCACGAAGGCAUAUCAGCAUCAAAAGUAUCAGAUAGCCUAUUACAAGGCAACACGGUGCCCACAAUAAGAUCAUUGUUUUUCGCAAGGGAGAAGCAGUUUUAAACCAGCUUCCGGUUCAAGCUUGGCCACCAGCCCGGCCUGAUGGUUGUGGGUCAUCCCGCGCCGCUUCAGCUUCAGUUUCUCUACCCAGCGGCUGGAAAUCAACAGUUGUCCAGUCGAUUCCCAUUAAUGCUUGAAAGACAGCUUCAUCAUGGAUCAGCAACGACGGGUCAAUAUCGGGAGCGUAAGUAUGCUUACGGAUUGGAGGGAUAAGAUUUUCCGCUUCAUGAAUUGGUGCAGCUACUCGCUUGUUUUGAUUGUCAUAUUGGGCUUGAUAAUGAGACAAGUCUGCUUCUUCAGCCAAUUAACAAGCUAGCGGACGCACCUCCCGGUUUAUUGCUCGCAGAUCCGCUUCACUAAACUCUGACCCGUCUUCCUUCAAGCUGGGAUAGCCCUGAGCCGCUUCAAUAGGGUCAAAAUCCGGCACCCAAGCUUUUGCUCGGAUUAAGGCAUUGAUCGCACCGGUUCGAGCAGCAGAUUUCUUCAGCUCUUCAACCUGGGCAGGAAGCACCGACAGUUUCAUCAGAGUGUCCUGAAUCAAAGUGGGCGUCGGCUUGUUGUGGGAUGCAGUACAGAUGAUUCGUUGUGCACCAGUGUACAGUUGUUCGAUCAACGUGUAGGCGGCUUUCAGUUUCUUCCGCACAUCUGACCCCAAGUGACCAAUGCGUGUCCCUGAAAUAUCACCAAGGGUUAACAAACCGGUAGCUCUGUAAGACGGCAGAAUCAAUUCAGAAGUCAAACCUGCUUACCAAAGAUAGCAGUGGUCAUGGCAUGCACGUGCCGCUUUAUGCUGGUCAGUUCAUCCGCCACCGGUUUUAGUGCAGCCUCAACAUCUUCUGCUCGUUUGAUUAAAGCGGAUUUUUCAGCGGCCCAAUCCGCCCGCUUCUUCUUAAAGAUCUCCUUAAGCUGUUCCAUGGCGCUUAAAGCGCUGGUUAAUUCCUCUUUUGCUUUGGAGGUUUCAGCUUGUUGGGAUUUCAGAUUUUCUUGGAGAUCGGCGAUUUGGCUUUCUUUCGUCUUCAGCUCAGCCUGCAUGCAGACAGUUAUAUGAUUCAGCAAAACGGUACAAGGAUUGAAGUACCAACCACAUAACUAAGUUAUGCACUUGGCACUUGGGGGCUAAUGCAUAUUCGAUCUUCAUCUUUCAAUUGCUUACAAAGUCCCAAGAUCAAUACAAGUAUUCAACUUGGCACUUGAGGGCUAAUGGCUAUUUGCUCGUAUAUAUUCUGAUGCGGCGAUCUCAAUUACUUAAAGUCCUGGUUUAACUACGCUAAGUUGAACCGGCCCUUGGGGACUACAUCAGCGAAUUUCAAAGCAUUAAGAUUUAUAUUAGUAAGUCCCGGUUUGAAAGAAGAUUACAAACCGACCCUCGGGGGCUAGGAGCGUCAACAAGAAUUGAAAUAUACAAGCAGGAAAGAGCAUAUGGAAGUUACCUCAUAUUUAUCUUUCAUCAUGUUAACCAGACCGGCUUCAUAGUCACGACUGGUAUACAGCCAGUUCAGGUAGCCAGAAUGGAUAUCUUGGGCGUUCAGAGCAGCGUAAGUCGCCAGAUCAGCAUUCCACUUGCCUUUGCCGAAGGCAGCAAAUUCUUCCUUGGCAGUAUGUUUGGACAAAGCGACAGGAUUGCUUGGUUCUGUAUGGCCAAUGCCAGUAAUGACAACCUCAUCAUCCUUGCCAUCGCCGGUUUGCACUGGGGCUGUUGGCUUGUCAGUAGGCUUUGCCGGAUCGGUGGAUUUCUCAAUCCGGAUGGAGCUUGUGGGCUGAUUGACAUGACUUGAGGUAUCAAUAGAUCUCUCUUCAGCAAUAAGAUCGUCAUCUUGCUGCGGUGGAUCAUUGGGUAUAUCCUCAGGAAUAGCCGCCUCAAGAUCUGGUGUUUUGCCCGGUUCAAGGACGGCGUCCUCUUCGGCCGCUUUGUCCAGGUGAGCCUUCUUGCUUGGCCUAGGCUUGGCCCUGAAAGGAAUAACAAAAUCAAAUACAACAUAUGUUCCGAGGUGAUGUACUGCAAAUAUAAUGAUAAGUAUAGCUUACCCAAGCACCGUUUUGAGCGGUGGCAGCUGAGUAGCCGAUGACUCGCUAGAGGAUGAGUGGGAAGUAACUUGGUAAUCGGAGUCAGAUGGAUUAAGAGGUUGACGAAAGCAGCCCGCUUUAGGACAAGCACUGACAAGCAAAUUAGAGACCUCUGAACGGCGUUUCCGAACCGGACUGUUCGGUAAACCGGCGGAGGUAACUACCUGGCCGCUCUGCCGGGUUGUGCGACGAGCUUCGUGCUGUUGGGUCUUCAUAAGAAAUUUGGGAUCCAAAUAAGCAAGAGGAUGAGAAAAUUUAACUUUCCGGUUUGCCUGACGGAUUUUUAGUGAAGGCAAAGGUUCUGAAUCGGAAGAGAGAAUAAUUACCUCUGCAGCAUUAGCAUGGCUGGCUUCGGCAUCAUCCUAACAAAUAUCAUCAUCAAUAAGACGCAUGAAAAAUAAGCCAAGUGAGUCAAGCCCUACCUCAAGGUCCGGAUUAUCCACAUCAUCAUCAGCGGCCGGAUUAGAGGAUGCAGUGGUUCUUUUCCUAUGGGCACUCUUCUUCACAGCUUUAGUCUUUCGCCGGGUUGCUCUUUCCGGUUUGUCUGGUUUUUCUGGUUUCUCCUGCGGCAGUUUCUUGCUCCAAAACGGAUCAUUGCCCUGGUUACACAGACACUGAUAUUAAACAAUGACCAGAUAUAUCAAUAAUAGAUUCAGCAAAAAGAAAAAUCAAACUCUUAUAGCUGGCGGUUUGUUGGCGGCACAGAAGGGAAGCAGGCUGGUUUUAGCACAGAUGUGUUCCGGUUCAUUCAGCAUCUUAUUCACAGCCUCUGUGAUUUCUUCAUCGGUGAGCUGGAUGUUGGCAUGUCGCAGUGGGUAAUAAACACUGCGAGUAUACUCACACAUCAAACCGGAGCACUGACUAAGGGGUAGUAUGCUCCAUGAUAUCCAACAGCGAGCGAGAUCAACCCCUGUUAAACCGUUGGCCAUAAAGGCUCUGAGCUUGGAUAGUUGAGGAGCGUAUUUGCUUCUCUCUUUGGCAGUCAACCUUUGCGGAAAGGGGUGUGUAUUGCUAAGCCGCUCCGGACGAAAGCUAGGCAAAGGGUUUUCACCAGCAGGGGAGGUGUCUUUGCAAUAGAACCAUGUUUGAUUCCACUCUUUGGGGUGGCUAUGCAGCUUGGCGUGAGGGUAUGUGACCUCUUUCCUUUUCAGAAUCGCCACACCGCCCAAUUCCGUAUUGGAACCAUCAGAAAACUCAGUAUGACGGUUUAGAUGGAAACAGUCUCUGAACAACUCCACUGUGGGCUCCUCUUGCAAGAACGCCUCACAGAGCACUUGGAAGUGACACAUGUUGGUAACAGAGUUGGGACCAGUGUCUUGUGGGUGGAGUUGAAAAUCGGCUAAAACGUCCCGGUAAAAUUUAGAACCGGGCGGCUUAAAGCCCCGGGCUAAGUGAUCUACGAAAAUGACGACCUCUCCUUCUUGAGGUGUGGGAGGGCAUUCUUUGCCAGGAGCCCUCCAAUGGAUGGUAUCUUUGCUGCCUAAGGCGCCGAUCAGGACUAAAUCGUCCAGUUGAGCCUCUGUGACGCGAGAAGGAACCCAGUUGCACUCAUAUACUUGCUUGGCCAUGAUGAAAUCUACAAGGUAGAUGAUACCGGUUCAAAAAUGCAUUGAUGAAGGUACAUUGGUAUGUGCAAUGUUAAACCGGAGACAGAUCUAUCUAAACCGGAGUUUUAUGAGGCAACAACAUCUGGCGGUUCAACAAGAGGACUAAUGAUAUAUACCGGUUUGACAAUUUUUUCUACAAAGUUAAACCGCCUGGUCUAAACAUUGAAGCAGAUGAGUAAGUUUACAGAAACAGAUUUCAUAAGACUUCUCUACAGCGACGGAUCUGAAGCAAGUUCAGAAAAUAAGGAAAAUAUUCAAGGUUCAAAAAAGAACAGUAGUGAAUCAAUGGGCAGAGAUACAUAUAGAUCUAUGGUCUUGAGGCAUGAAACUGAAGGCGGAUGCUAAAAGCUACCGCUACACAGAGUAAGCAUUCUCAGAUGCAUCUAGGAGUUAUCAUAUGAACACAAAAUAGGCGAUGAACACUAGAAGAACAUGAAACCCUAGAGCAGAUCUGUGUUGAAAAGAACAGAAGACUUACUGGAGAUGAGAAAGACGCGGAAGGUUGCCGCGGUGCUCUGGUGCGCCCAGGUUGAUGCAGCGGCCAAGGUUGAUGCAGAGGUUGACGGUGGCGGCGGAGCUCCGAAGCUGGGCGACACGAGGAAGACGAAGCACAAGGGCACGGAGGGGAAAAAGAAAUGACCCUUCGGUCCUAUUUAUAAGGCAAGGCACAGGAGUCAGGCGUGAAAAUCAAGGGACCGUGGGUUUGGAAAUGAAGAUGUCGCCUUAAUUGUCGCAGACCUAUUAAGGUCCUUUAUAACAGGUGACGUCACGUCGGUUUACAACGACUAGAGAAGAUGACAUCAUGGCAGUUCAACAAACUACAAGAAGAUAUUGAAGAUGAAGAUUUUUGCUAAAGGAUUGACAUGAACAUGUUCAAAUCAAUCUGGGGCCUAAUGUUGGGAAUAUCACUACUGGGCGUAAACCGACCUAUCUGGGCCAGGUUAACUUCGUCAGUAGUUAAGUAUGUUAAAGCCCAAGAAGGCAGAUGAGGGUUCAAGGCCCGUAGUCAGUUCAAGGCCUGUAGCCGUAAACCGGCAUUGGUAUUUAACUUGUAUUGUAAGUUAGGAAUAAGUAGAGACCAAACCGGACACAUCUAUGAGCCGGUAUUGGGACUCUGUGAAACAACGGGCGUCACCCGUGUAUAUAAGGGGACGACCCGGCAGCGAUUCAAGGACAACAGACAACAACUCGAGACAUAGGUGAAGCUUGUUUGCUCCCUGGUCAUCGAAACCCCAUCAAUUCCAUCACAACUAGACGUAGGCUUUUACCUUCAUCGAAGGGGCCGAACUAGUAUAAACUCUCUUGCGUCCCUGUGUCCGCUUUAACCCCUUCAAGCUAACCCGUCGCGAUGGCUCCAUGACUAAGUCCUUUCUCUAGGACAUCUGCUGUGACAAAACCACGACAUGGACCGUCAAGCUCAACUAACCCGCCGUCUCCACCUGCUCAAGAUGUUCAAAUUACUGGGAGCCGCUUUGUUGAGCCGAGGAACCCAACGGUGCUGGCUCAGUGCACAGCAAAGCAAUAGGCAUUGGAGAGGCAGAAGGUUCGCUUUGACGUUGCCAACUAUGACCGUCUCAAUGCCAGUGACAUUUUAUCCGGCUAUCUCAGUCAUGUACACUCCAGUCGCGAGUCUGAGAUCGAGAUGGUCAAGCAGCUUCAGUUGAAGUAUGAGGUACGUUUUUUCUGGUUUACUUGUAUUCCUUCAGCCCCCAAGUCUUCAGAUUAUGAGAGAAACAUAAUAACCUGUAGACUGUAAAAUAUAGGCCGAAGAUUUUACCUCUGAAUCAAUGAUAAAAACAAAUCUUCACCUGUAGUCCCCAAGAAUUGGUUCACUUUGAUCAUAAGUGAAUCGGUACUUAAAAAUUGUUGUUAAGACCGUCUUCAAAGUACUUAAUGCUCCGGUUUAACCUUGAUAAAUUUGCUGAACUGCAUACAUUAGCCCCCAAGUGCCAAGUGCUGUUACUUUGUAAGGUACUUGGGACUUUAAAUAUUUUUGUAGAGUCGUAGGAAUCUGAUUUGGCAUACAUUAGCCCCCAAGUGUCAAGUACUUUACAAGUGGUUUGUUUGUAAAGUGUUUGAGACUUGAAUCUUAAACUUGAAUUUGAAACCAAGUCUUGGCUCAUCUGAAUGUUUUACAUAAUGCCUUGUCUGAGUUGAACUCUCAAUUGACUGACGCAAAGACCCGGCUAGCAAGUCAGGAGACAGAAAUCAAAUCUUCUAACUCCAAACUGCAACUAAGGCUCUCUGCAAUGGAAAAUUUCAAGACCAGCUUUGCUGCUAAGGAAAAAACUUGGGAAAAGGAAAAAACACUUCUGACCCAACGAGCUGAGACAGCCGAAACAGCUCUGAAAGAGAUUUCAACAAAGCUGAACGGGUUAAAGGGGCGGGUGUCUCAGAUGGUAGCUGCUAUCUUUGGUAAGUUGUCUGACUUGAUCUUUUGUCUAUUUUUUGCCAAACUGGAGUAUAAGCCGUUAACUGACUUUGCGUGUACAAAUUUAUGCAGGUCCUCUAAGCAAGAAUCUGAGCCAAGACCCGUUGAUUAAACUGAAGGCAGUAUAUACUUUAGUUGAACAAUUGUAUAUCGGCACACAACGGGCUCUGGCCACCAUCUCUCCUACUAACCAAGGACCCAACCGGCUCAGCGACAUCCUGAAAAAGCUGUCCAUCCUUCCUGCUAGGUUCCAAGAAGUAAAACGCUCUUGUGCGCGAGCCGGAGCCUUGACUGCCCUAAGCUGCUCCAAGGCUUGGGUGCCAGAUCUAGACCCGGCGGACAUAGCAAGAGGCUAUCCCACUGUGAAAGAGGACGGGUCUCCCUUUGAUCAGGAUGACUUCAUGGCUUGUGUACGCGGAGUCCGGCCUCAGGCGACUAGCCUUGGAGAUGACACCAAUGUUGAUAAGUACCAGCCGGGUUUUGAUAGUGAGAAUAAGAAGAUGGCCACUCCCUCAUACAAAGUAACAUACUUGAUCCCACCAGUGAGAGAAGAUACAUUUGCUCCGGAGGUUGACCCGGUCGGCCUGAUCGAUGACGAAGCCGAAUUCGUCGCCGUGAAUGGCUUUGACUGGUCAAAACCCAACUUCCAGCAAACAUAAGGUGGUGAACCGGCGAGGGAGGGACAAUGAUCAUCUUCAUGGGCUUAUAAAGCCUUGUAAUAACUUAGUUGUUAAAACACCGCAUGUUUGCUUAUGCCAUCGCGCAUAGAAUACUUCUAUGUGAAUCUAUGUUUCCAGGUGCCAAUGCAUGCAUCGUUUAAUGUUUGUCUCUGCAAUGCUUGAACUCUGUUCCUGUAAAGAAAAGACUGGCUUGGCGGUUUAAAAUCAAACAGGUUUAAACACCUAAUUUAUAGCCAAUUUAUUUACCUCAAUAAGAACCAGAGACAAAUAUAAAUAAAGGAUAAGGGCUUUUAAAACUAACUCUUUAGUUAACGCAGUAGGUAAGUGCGCAUAAGUAAUAACCAUACCUUGUCCCUUUCGCUCUUUAGAUUGCCGGUUUAAAUAGCCCGGGUGAUGAAUUUGAUAACUCAACCUUUAUGCUUUUUUGAAUACUCGAUGAUUACUAUACCUUGGUAGGCUGUACCUUUUGAUCCGUAAGCUACCGGUGUGAAUGACCUGGGCGGUUAUGUUGUCAAAUAGUCGAGCUGGUGAAGAGGACCAGGCUAAUUGUUUGUAACAUUGAAACAAAAAAAA